rnacentral:lncRNA from 1 species
CGGUCAGGUUGAUCCCUCACGGGACCCACAUUUCCCACGUGUACAAGAAUAUUACCAGUCGGCAUCCGCGUGUCUUAACUAGUAAGCAAACUUUGAAUCGCAAUUUCCUCGUGUGAUUUUACUUUGAGCAAUUCGUAUUUAUCUUCUUCCAGAAUUACUCAUAAAUAUUUGUUUUCCCAAUAACAAAUAAAGAAAAUAUUUGAACAGCCUAAAUCAAUAAUUAAUUAAAAAAAUUCAACAUCUAUGUAUAAAAACAAUAAGCCUACCCAAGAUAGGACUAUUUAAGCCAUUUCUGGGUCAAAUCAAACCAAAACCAAAAUCAAAAUCGAAACCGAAACCUUCUUUGAGUGUUACCUAAGCAAACCCUUCCUGAAAUCUUCCUAUAUAUAUAUAUAUAUAUACCUGAAUUUCCUCCGCCCAACAAUCUCCCAUUCUUCUUUUCUUCUUCUUCUUCUUCCUCUUGAUCAUAUGUUGGAGAUAUUACAGUAACAUGACCAACAUACCAACUUCUCUCACAGAUUCUUCUCUUGCUCUCUUCUCUCUUGCCAUCUCUGCCUCAGACCCUUGGCCUUUCCCUCUUAUUCUCUAACCUCAAAAUCCCAUCUUUUCUUCAUUUUGUUGUUUCUUGAUUUAGUUUCUUGUGUUUUUUCUUAAUAUAUAUAGAUAUGGGGAGUGGAGAGAGAGAGAAAAACAACCAUCACUCGAAUUUCCAUGGCAACUUGCUACAGCUUCUUCACUUUCAUAAUCACCAUCACCACCACCAUCAUCAAGGGAAGAAGGAUUUGAAAGAUAUUCCAAAAGGGUGUUUGGCGAUCUUGGUUGGACAAGGUGAGGAGCAGCAGAGAUUUGUGAUACCUGUGAUUUACAUAAAUCACCCACUCUUCAUCCAGCUUCUUAAAGAAGCUGAAGAAGAAUAUGGAUUUGAUCAGAAAGGUCCCAUUAUUAUUCCUUGCCAUGUCCAGGAGUUUAUUAAUAUCCAAGGCAUGAUUGACAAGGAAAAUACCCAUCACCAACAUCACCACCUUUUGUGUUGUAGGGUUUGAUUUUUAUCAUGUAAUUGUGUAAAGCUUGCUCUUUAUUCAUCACUUCUUCAUUUUUCUUUCAUUUUUUUUUUCUUUUUUAAUAUUAUAUUGUAAAUGNNNNNNNNNNNNNNNNNNNNNNNNNNNNNNNNNNNNNNNNNNNNNNNNNNNNNNNNNNNNNNNNNNNGAUAAUGGCGAAUUAUUGAAUGAAAAAAAAAAAAAAGAAAAAUAUUAUUAUUGGGUUUGCUUGUUAUCCACUUCUCUUCAAAAUGUGAACACAAUAAACUAGUACGUGUGAAAUUGUAUACGUGUAGGACACGGUUGUAAACAUGCUAUAAUCUAAAAAAAAUUUAAGUCUGUAUAAAUAAAUUAAAAUAAUUUUUGUAUCAAAUUUGAAAAUUGAUUUGGGAGUGAUUGUGUAAUCUAUGCAAGGUUAGGUGGGAGGUGUGGAUGUUUUAGCUACACCCACCAGUAGCCGUGUUUUGGAGAAUACUAGUUGUUCUUCCUAAAUUCUUGGAACUUUCUCCUUAAUUUUAGUCGACCACAUUAAUAUAAGCUAAAUUAAUUAAGGUUACUAUGAAUUUGGAUCGGUUGUUUUCCCAUUUCAUCUUUGGUGCAUAGACUCCUAAAAUGUAAAUUUGUAUAAAAAAAAUGAUUAAAUUUAAUUAUCUAACAUUCAAAAGGUAGAGUUUUGAUACGUGUGAAUGAAUUUAGUUUUAAAUCGCUCAUUUCUUCUCGUAUCUCUCCUUUUUUAUUUUCUAACAACGUGUUCUUAUUGUGCAGGCUGUAUGUACUUAUAUUGUAUGGACCUGAUUCUAGAUAAAUAGGGAUAUAUAACUCUAUUAAACUCAUCCAAUCGAGUAGAUCGGAUUUUAACGUCUCGAAAUCUGACCGUGUUAAGUCAGAUCUGUUAACAUAAAAUCUAAAUCACGUUUAGAAAAAUAGACCUAUUAACAUGAGGUCUAGACCACGUCAAAAAAAGUGAACCGAUGUAUUGAGUUGUCAUGAGAUUCUGCUAUGUCCCUCUUUUAUGAACUUAAUAAAAAUUGAGGUGCUAUCAAAAUCAACACGUGAGAAUUAAUUAAAGAAACAUUUUAUCAUUAACAUGCUUUAAAAAAAACUUGCAUUUACAUUCGAUUAAAUUCAUUAUAUGAAUAUUUGGUGUUUUUUUUUUGGAUUUUCUAUUUAAAAUAUAAUUUAAAAAGAAUAAGAAAAACAAAUCUGAAUGGAAUUGAGUAGAUCAUAAAUGGGAAAACGUAGAGAAUCGCGAGAGCCACAUUGGCCGCUCAUUACUAUUGUUGAGAAAAAUGCGUUGGAUUUGCCUACGCCCGAUUUUCAGCGAUUUCAUUUCACAAUUAUCAGUUUUUUUAAUCUUUCGUGAUAGACUUGAAUCCUUUUGACAUACACUAUUUACAUACAUACAUACAUACAUACAUACAUAUAUAUAUAUAUAUAUAUAUAUAUAUUGAAAUUUAAUAAUUAAUAAUUUUAAAAAUAAUUUUAGUAUUAUUAAGAUUUUUAUUUAUCUGAAAGAGAAAAAAAAUUAAUAUCUUUUUAUUUUUUCACAUUUAUAGAAUUUAAAAAAAAUUAUUAAUGAAAAUUUUUUUAUUCUAAACUUUGAAUUCAUUAAAAAUAUUCUAUUAAAUUAUAUUUUUAAAACGAAAUUAUCUCAUAUCAAAAAUUAAGUUACAUUUAAAGAAAAGUAAGUUAUAUUUUUAUUUUUUUUAAAGAAAAGAUUAAGAUUGAGUUGGUGAGUAAUCAAUUUCGAUAAUUUUGAAGAGAAUGAGAUUCAAACCAAACACAUUCUUAACGAUUAUCUUAAAAUUAAGGUGGUCGGUGUUCAUCAUUGUUUAUUUUAAAAAUAAAUAUGAGCAAUAAAAUAAAUUAUAUCAAAAAGUAUUUAAAUUUGAUCGACAAUUUAAAUUUUAUUUAUGUAAUAAAUAUUUAUUUAGAAUAUUUCAUUAUGUAAUAAAUCAAUUUAAUGUGAAUAUAAUUUAAUUUUGAUUUAAUUAGUUGAAAAAAUAUAUAUAAAAAACAAAUAAUUAGGCUUUUUAAUUUAUAAAACAUCACAUGAAUUGAAUAGCGUAAAGCUGUAUGAGCCAAAACCAUCACCAUGUAUAGAGGCGAGGGACAUGGCAAUUGGUCAACGACCAUUCUUAAACCUCUCAACGUCAUUAAAAAAAGAAAUAUUGAAGAAAAAAAAAUCAAUUAUUCAAAUCUUCACUGGUCUAUUCUGUUGUUUCCUAAUUUGUAAAUAAAAAUAAAAAAAAUUCCUUAAUAAUAUUUAUUACCCAAUUGAUAGAUUAGCAAUUCAAUCUAUCAAUUUAUUCCGAUUUUAAUUAUGCCUCCUUUUUUAAAAAAAUUAAUUUAUUAAGCAUCCGUUUGUUUUUUUUAAAUAAUUUUUUUUAAUUAUUAAUUUUAAUGUUUAUGAUUCAAUGUUAAUCCAAUUCAAAAUUGAUUAUCAGUGUCUUUUUUGCAUUGUUAAUUAUUUUAUAUAAUUUUAUGUUUUUUAAUGGGGAUGAGAGCUUGAGAACAUGAAUGGCAACAUGAGCUUUCCCAUACUGAAAGGGCAAUUUGCAAGUUGACAUUAACUUCUAUUAAUGGGUAAUUAGGCAAUGCUUAUUAUCCACUAAUCCAAAUGCAUAAUAGGAAAUUGUUUGACUAAUUGAUUCAUAGAAUAUGAUAUUAUCAACAUGGUUUGUGGAAAACCAUCUUUUUAGUUUCUUUCAAACUAACUACUUUUUGCUUUAUGACUCAAUCAUUAAAGCAUAAUUUGGUUAGUUUGCUCACACUAGACCGGACCAUGAUCCGGUUUCAGCUUGUAAUGAGAUUGGUCUAACUCAGAAUUGAAACUACACUGAAAUCUCUAUGAGCUCAAAUCAAUCUUAAUCAAACCAAAACCAAGCCAGCAUGGUUUGAUUCAAUUGGCAUUUUCUCUUUUUUUUAAAAAGAAAUAAAAAAAAUCAACUGCUGAAUUGGGUUCAAACUGAAUGAAAUCAGAACCAAAUUGGAGUCAUCUCAGGUCAUCAAUGAACCAAUUUGGGCAGAGAUUAAGCUACAAAGGAAACAAGAAUCUAAAUUUAUAUUCUGUAUUGAAGCGUUGAACAUGUAAAGCAUACAUAUUCAUCUUUACAAAUAAGGUUAUAGUGAUCUUCUUUCACAUGUGCUGCUCAAACCCUUUUUUUUAUGGAAGAAUGGUUCCAUCUGAAAAAGUUUGCAUUGACUUUUAGGAGCUAAAGCAUCACAAUGCCUCAAGCAAAUCAUAUCAUUUACGGAGCUCAAAUCAUCCAAUUUGAGAUCAAAGCCAUCAGCAAAGCAAUUAAGGUUAUUAAAGCAGCCAUUUGAGUGACAGUGAAGAGUAUUAGGACAAUAGCGAUCUAGAUGUCUGAGACUAGUGAACAAUCUAACUUCCAAUGCUCAAAUUACACUUGAAUUUGCUUGUUUAACACUACAAAGAACAGGAAGACUCACAAGAGCUUAAUAACCAAAACAAUUAUAAACAAAGCUGAAAUGCUGAAAUUCUCACAUUUUUUUUGUUGCAAUUGAAUAUCAAAUUACAUGCUAAAGAUAUCCAUAAGAGAUAAGAUAGAUCAACAAACCCCAUCACCCUUGAGUCUAUGGCAUUCUCCUUGCCCCCAUCUAGAAAGAGAACUGAUAAAUCCUAAGGCAAAAGGUCUCAACUGAUUGACUACAGAUUCAAGCCAUAGUAACAUGUCUCAUUAACACCUGCACUUCUUCACCAUACAUUUAAAUUCCAGAGGAAGAGAGGGAGAAAGAGAUUGGGUCAGUUGCACAGGUCAAUUUUCGUCUCAUAACCAUGGGUCAGCUGCAGAUAUACAUGUAAUCAUUACCGCCAAUAAAAGCUAUAUAGUAUCAUCUCAUCAUCAGCAAAUAGCAUGUAGCAUUUUAUAUAUUUGUAAAUUCCAAAGGAUGAUAGGUAGAAAGAGCGAGAUUCGAACUUUCAAUAUUUGAAUGUUGAAGAAUCAGAAGUCUUUUUACAAAUAUUUAGCUUCUGGUGAUACCACAGGCCAAGGUAAGUUAUAAAGCUUAGGAUCAGCUCUUAAAACAGAACAAAAAAUUCCUGAUUCAGUCUGAGCCAGAAAGGUCUACUUACUUCCACUUAAUAAUCUAUAGGUUGUGACACCAAUACUUCACAUAUCAGCUUCAACACUGUAAGUUGAAAUCUAUGGAGCACUUCAGAUGCAACAUAAUGCACUGCUAAGAAUAACAGUCCUAAUUUUCAAUAAUAAUAAUGACCAGCUGCACAAUCACUAUACUGAAUUAUAUAAUUUCUGCAAGCUUGCCAUUUGGAUAGAGCAUAUUAUCUUCUGCAUAAAUAUUUCAGUUACACUACCCAACAAUUGCAGAAAGCUCCACCACAAGCCCUGUGCUUCAAUAUUCUACAAGACGACCCUUAGAUGAUUGUCAGGAAUGUCAAUUUCUAACGAGUUAAAGCAAGCGAAGCUUCUCAACGUUCCUGAGAAUUUAACUAAAAUCGGAAUUUUCAGUGGCAUUGUUAGAAAAUAAGUCUCAAUGUAAGAAUCAUUUUGGCUUCAAAUCAUUGAAAUUAACCAGAAACUAUAUAACACUCGGUUGACUAGCUAGUUCAAUUCUGCAAAAAUCAUUGAAAUUAACUAGAAACUAUAUAACACUCAAUUGACUAGCUAAUUCAAUUCCACAAACUAGGGGGGAAAAGUGUAGUAGUAGUAAAUAGUAGUAUGUGCACCUUCCCUUUGGAAAUGCUCUUGACAAAUCGCAGCGACCGGCUGUCCUUUGAGCUCCCGUUUCUUUCAUUUAGCCAGCAAGAAUAGCCCAAACUCCCUCACCAACUCAAACUUCACCCGAAAAUUCUUCGCGUGGCAAAAACUCUAAUCCAGCUGCUUCUUGCUCCCACCUCCCUCUCUGUCCUCCGGUAUUGGCACCUCCUUGGCGGCUUAAUCUGCCCUCGGGCCUCAUAAUAGCCAUAAUCACCUUAGCCGGAGACUAAGGCGGCAACGACUUUCUUCCUGGAUUACCUGCUAGACAAGGAGAUGGCGGAACUUCGGCCGGAAAGGACUUUGGAAUGCGCUGGCACGAAGGAGUUAAAAUGUGGAAGGCGGUGUCUCCGUCGGUUACAGUCGGAGGUGGCGAUGAAGGUGCUUAAAGUGGUUCGCGCGUGAUUCCAUCAUUUUCAUUUACUCCAUCGUCGGACAUGGAGGUGGUGCUAAUGUUAGUUUGAUCAAUAAAAAUAAAAAAGGUCAGUUCAUCGGACGGCAUAGAAUUUAGCUAAGACAAAAUUUACAAUCCAAGUUUUCUACAGGCGAAACAAUCAAAGGGCAGUAGAGAAAAGAAGAGAAGAGGAAGGACAAGGAAAUAAAGCUAGCGUUACAGUGAUUUUAACAUUCAUCAGAAAAAGGCUAGAAGCCGACGUGAAAAAAAAAAAUCCAAAAAAGAGUAUAGCCCAAUUAAAAAAAGAAAAAACAGAAAAAACGCAGCUCAAAGUUCAAAACCAGUCCUUAAAGAAAGGUCCACUAACAAAAAAAAAUCAUAACAGGCAAGUAAAAUCUGUCACCCAAAGGCAUCCAUACUAUGUUUGGAUGCCUGGAAAAUAAGGGAGAAAAGGGAAAUUUUAAAGAUAAUAAAAUUGAGACAUAAAUGUAGUAUGAAUUCCAAAAUUAUAUGGAUUCAAAUCUCAAUGAUCAAGAUUUGGAUGAACUCCAUAAAUUUAUUUUUCAUACAGUAAAUGUGAACUUUGUUCAAUACUAUUACUUAGAUAACAUUCAAAAUAAUUUAAAAUUUAUUUUUAUAUGAUGCAAUUAUGAUGACUCCAAAAAAUCUAAUUAUCCCAUUUAAAUUGUUUUUUAAUAUUAAAAAAAUAGUUAAAUAUAUAUUUACUUAGUGUCAAAUAAUAUAAUUACAAUCUAUUAAAUACAUCAACUUACUUAUGGCAUAACAAUUAAACAAAAAAUUAACUAUACAAGCAAUGAUGUGUCAAAAAAAAUUUCCACUUAUUAUUAAUUAAAUUUUAAAUUUUAUUAAUUAUGCUCUAUAUUUUUAUAAAAAAAUAAAAUUAUUCUAGUCUAAUUUUUUUAUAAUAAAUAAAUAUUUUUCUGAUAAUAAUUAUAAAUUAUUUUCUAUUUCAUAAUACUAAAGUAAUUGUUUGAUAUUUUAAUAUUUCAUAAUUUGUUCUGAUAUUAAUUUUUCUAAUUUACUCACUCAAUUUUUAAAUACUAUUAUUCUAACUGAAUUAAAAUACAAAAUAAUAUAUUAAAAAUAUUACUAAAUAGAGUAAAAAACAACUAAUAUUAUCUUAGAUCUGUAAUUUUUUUAUAUAAAUUUCUAGGUCUAAUGAAUCUUACUAAAUAUUAAUAUAAUAAUUAAAAUAAUAACAAAAAUAAUUUAAUUUGUUAUGAAAAUACAUUCCUUAAUAUAUUAUUAAAAAUUUAAUGUAGUAAUUUUGUUUCCAUAUUAUUAUUAUUAUUAUUAUUAUUAUUUAAAAGAUAUACUUAUCUAUUAAUUUUCAACCUCAAAUAAAUUUUUUUGUACUUUUCUAAAAACAAAUCGAGGACAUGGAAGAAAGACUUAAAGUUUGACCAGGACUGGCAAGCAAGCGAAACUUAGAACACAGAAACGUGAGAUACACACGCAAGUACAGCGCGUGUAAUCAUCAUGUCUUAGAGAUGAAGUUGCCCUAUAAAUGGCGGGAGCCUCCCAUGUAUCGAAAUUUCUUUCCCAAUCAUCUCUCUCAUUCUCUCUUUCUCUCCACCGUCAACUUUUCACUAUUUACACUCCAAGCCCCUGCAAAACCCUCCAAUCUUACAAAACCCCACAAAUCUUCACCUAAGGUACUCUCUUCCCCUCUCUCUCUAUAUCCCAUUUUGUUUUCUAUUUCUCUCCAUUGUCUUUCAUGGUCCAUUCUAUUGGUAUUUUUUACAAUUCUAGGGUUUCAGUUGAUCUCUUCAUAAAACUUAGGGUUUUUUUCUUUUUUAAUUUUUUUAUUCUGCGUGCUUAGGUACCGGAGGAGAAUUGGAGUAGUAUUGUUGACUUCUGCCGAUUUAAUGGAGGCCGCCGCCGGUGUUGUCGCCUCACGCGGUGGUUCUCUGCCGAUGUCAUCGUCUAGGAAGGAGUGGCGUGCCGUUUCUGACCACCAUUCGGUUGGAACCGCAGGCGAUGAGGUGGUAAUCUACUUAUUUUGUUUUGUUAUGUUAUGCGUUUGGGUUGGUUCGAUUCCUGAGAAAAAUGUUGGAAGUUGUAGAGGAACUGAAUGUUUGUUGGCUAGGGGUUUUAUUAUUAUUUAGGUAUGGUACAUAAUUUGAUGCAAAGUGUGUUUCCAUUGAUUUUAUCAGCUACCAAACUUGGAGUUUGGGAUCCUCAUUCUUUUCAGUGAUACAAACAGAAGGCUUGAUGAGAACAAUUUGGUUUUGAUAUAGCUUUACACCAGGCCUUUGAGGUAACCUGGUGUUAGGGUUUAUUGGCUUAUGUGUUCACUUGUAAUUAAGUGGACAAAUUUGAACUUUUUGAUACGGGCAUAAUUAAUUGAAAUUAAUUUACUGUGAUGGAAAAAUUAGUCUCCAGUUGGUUGUGGGAACUUAAGUCCGGUGUAGAGUUUCUUGUUAAUGAAUGUUGUCCUGUUAUAUUAUAUGAUCAACAUUGAAAUUAACCAAUAUUUUAUUAUCAAACCUUGGUUGCUUUUUUAAUCCAUUUUCUGGGUAAUUAGUAACGUUCCUAGGAUGCAUUACAUGUAUUGAUUCUUUGUCAUUAACUUAAGGACUUGUUAAUCACAGGAAUUGGACCGGCCAAAUUUGGGGCAAUCGGAUGAGAGAACUAUCUAUGAGGUAAUAUCUUGUUGUUUUGAAUGAGCCUUUGGUUUGAUGGCAAUGGAAAGUGAACAUGAGUUUGAUUUUAUCAAGGUGCAGCGUGCAAGAGAACCUGCUGAUGUGGACUUCUGCUCAAUCAAUGUGAAUGGUAGCUUGGACAAUGACAUUAUGCAGCAGCGAAUUCAUAGUAUUACUAGGCAAAGAGAAGAGCUUCAACAUGUGGAGAUUGAACUUAAAGCUCAGUUGAUUUCGAGAUCUGAGAUCCUGGAAAUGCAGCACAGCUUUGAUGCUCAAAUCAAAGAGCAUAAAGAUGCUGCUGCAAAACUUAAGGUUGAAACUUUUAUGAGUUUUGUUUUCUGAGCUGGAUGUUCAUAGAAAAGUGUAUUGAGCUUAAAACUUGUUAUUUUUGGAGUAAUUUUCUUUCUGAAGAGGAAGAUAUUAAGUUGAAAUAAUAAUUUUGUAUUGACAUAAACCGUUGGAUCAGAUGUGUGAAUUUCGCUGCAUAUGCACUAAAUCCUUGUGGUCUGCUGCAUGAAAUUUUGUAGCAUGUAGCCAUUGAGGUAUAUUACGGCUCAAAAGUUUCUUCCAAGUCUGUAGAGUCUAAAUAGUGAUAACUUGAUUGUUUCUCUCUCACAUCAUUUUCACCUUAUUUCUUCUUCUUCUUUUUUUUUUUUUUUGGCAGGAACAACUUCAUGAAAGGGAACAGGCCAUACAUGAAUUGGAAAGGGGAAUGGAAGAGAAAGAUAGGGAAUUGCAUGCUAUUAAAUUGGAUAAUGAAGCGGUUUGUUCAUGUGUACAUGGUGAUUUUAGAUAAAGCGUUUCUGGUGAACUGUGUGAAGUAUUAUCUCAUCUCAUUUUCAGGCCUGGGCCAAGGAAGAUCUUCUCAGAGAGCAAAAUAAAGAAUUGGCAACAUUUAGGUAUGCAUAAGUGCAAUUUCAACAUCACUUUGAUCCUUAGUAACUUUACAUUGUUUUUUGGUAAUUGAGGAAAGCCCCAUCUUUUUUAGAGACUGUAAAGUAGAAACUGUACAACUGAAGUAAAGGUCCCCAAGAAGGCACCAUUGUUGUCUAUUUAGGGCUUUUUUUUUUCUCGUUUUUGUCUUCUUCUGUUGGUUGUAUUUCUAUUUUCAUUUUUUGCCUUGGUUCAAACCUGUACAAUAAAAUGUUAAUUUUCUAAAUUCUCACAUUUGGAGGUCUUUUUAUAUGGAUAUAAGGACAGUUUACAAUAGACAGUUAAUAUCUAUGUCGUAAUAAUCUUGUUUUAAUCCUGUAUGAAUCAACUGGGACUGCUUCUUCUGCAGAAGAGAGCGGGAUCAUUCUGAAGCUGAAAGGGCACAGCAUAUACAGCAAAUACGUGACCUUCAAGAACUUAUUCAAGAAAAAGAGAGGCAGAUUCUUGAAUUGCAGGAACAGGUCUAUUGAUUGGAAGUUUACAUACCUGGUUCUCCAUUAAGAGUACAUUUUGUGGUGUUCAUUGAAAAUUUUAACUAUAGAAUUAUAAUUUGUAUUUUUCUUGGAUUCUUUCAUAUCUAACUGCUGUUCAUAAAUUAUUUAACAGUGGGGGGAUCAGUUUGGCUAAUAUUGAUGUUAUCUUUCAGCAUAGAGUUGAUCAGGAGACCAUAUUUUUGAAGGAUGAACAAUUGAAAGUGUGGAUCGCACGUGUUCAAGAGAUGGAUGCCUUGCAAUCUACUUUACAAGUUGAAUUACGAGAACGUACUGAACAAUAUAAUCAGCUAUGGAUGGGUUGUCAAAGACAGGUUGAUUUGCAAUAAGAUCUUUUGGCACUUACUCAGAUGUUUGCUUUUUAUCACAUUUGUGUGUCCUGUUUGCUUGCUUCUAUGCGUAUGUCUAUGAGCUUAAUAGUUUUACUCUUUUUGUUGGCUGACAAAUCAGUUUUUUCAUUUUGCUUCUGAUAUUUGUUUUAAUUUCUUGGCAUACUCUAAUAUGCAGUGUAGAACUGAUUAGUACUUGACUCCUUUCUACAUGAUAAACAAAUGUGUGCUGCUAAUCUUCUGGCCAAAGGUUUAUUUAUUUGCUUCUUUGGAUUGUUGAUGUCAGUUAGCAGAAAUGGAGAGACUUCAUUUGCAUACUGUACAACAGCUUCAUCUUGAGCUAGCUGAUGCAAGAGAAAGGAGUGGACCCUACACUGAAGAGUCACGCAUAUCCCAGACAAACUCAAAGGAUAUGUCAAAGUUUGGUCAAAGCAAUGGAAAUCAACUAGAUGUUAAUGCUAAUGGUGCAACAAGUGCUAAUGAUGGACCACUUCCAAAUGGGAAUGCAGAUAAUGCAUCAAACCAGGUAAUAUUGCUUCGCAUUGUGGUUUUUUUGUUGCCGAUAAGUAUCGGAUGUCAAUGUCAGUGUGAACCUCUGUGAAAAUUUUAAUAAUGAUUACGCAUUUGUAGUGGGUAUGUACAGUGAAUAUCUCCUCUUCUAUUAAACAUGACUGUGGUAUAUUGGCAGUUCAACAUUUUAAUGCAUUGCAUAUCCUCUUCUUUUAGCGGGUUCCAUUGCCAUCCAUGUUGUGUUGCUCUACAAGUACAAAUUUAACCUCUUAAUAAAUUUGUUACUGGCACUGUCUAACCCGUGUGGAAUUUGCAAUAUGUCCAAAAAAGAAGAAGAUAAGCUUAGAGAGGUCCCACAAUAAUUGAUAUGAAAACCAGAUAAAAUGAAAAAAUUUUCAUCUAUGUUAUGCAUCUUCAACCCAUUAGCCAAACCAUAAAUUGUUGUUGCUGUAUGAAAGAUUACAUGUUAGGAUACGUUUUUAUGACAUGGGAGCAUCUGUAUUGGUGUACAAAAAUUAGUUACCUCAUUUCUGUCAUUGGGGCUAGUGGCAAUUGGCAUUUAUAUUAGGCACCUCCCAUGCUUUUUCUGUGAAUUGUACUGGUAGUUUUGGUUAUUUUCAUGGUUUUUCGACAAACUUUGGUAACUAUAAAAUCUUAUAAUACUGUUAUUAUUGAAAUAUCGGUAUGUUUUUCAUGGAAAAAUUCUGUAAUAUGUGUAAAUGUAGCAACUGAUAUUAAGGCUAUUAACACAUCAAAGAAAUACUAGUUGGGGUUUUCACGUUGCUGUAACAAUGUCUUCAGUGUUCAUGUCUGUUUGCACCUUAUUUGAUAAAAAAUAUUAAGGAUGCAAGUCUAGAGAUAAAGAGAGGGGGAUGGGCUGUAGAUAAAUAGAAAGAUACAGAAGGGGUUAAUUUCAUCAAAUAUGAGGUAUGAAAGUGUGGACACAGAGAUGUGCAAUAUAAAGUUAGACCAUGGUUUACUCAAUGUGUAAGUAGGAGAGGGUGAAAAUAAUUAGGAAAUAUGACCAAGUAAACCCUAAAGUAUCUGAAGUUUGUUCCUUGAUAGGAUGUUUUUCCUGGAAAAUUAGUAACCAAUACUACAUGUACAUGUGAAAAACUUUGUUCCAUUUGUUUUAUGGAAAUAUGUUCCGCAUUUUCUGACUUUUUUGCACUCAAGAAAAUUGAUCAAUGAAAAAUGUUUCUUGGUCAAAGAGAAAUUAAUUCAUUACUCUUACUUUGAGAAUCUUAUUAAUACCACUAAACUUCUUAUAUAUAAAUGUACUAAUAUCUUCAUUUCUUUUUUUAACUUUGCUACCAAACAAUUAAAAAAAAUUAUUUUUGCUGAAAAUAUUUUCCAUGUUUUUUAUGUACAAGCUAUUUUCCAUGAACAAGUGGAGGCUUAGUUGAUAGACUACAUGUCAGUAGCAAAGAGAAUCCUAGUCUAGUGUAAUGCUGUAUUCAUGAUUUCCAAUAUUGUUGUGCUCUUUACUAGACCAACCAUGUUGCUGGUGUCCCCAUUGCCCCAUCAUCUUUGCUUGGGAUGCCUACCUACCUUCCGCCUGGACAGGUUACUGCAUUGCAUCCAUUCAUUCUACAUCAACAGGGAAUUCCUCAUUCUAUGCCAUCACAUGUUCCUCAAUCUCAUGUUGGGCAUUUUCACUCAAUACCAGCAAUGUCAUCUCUUCCACAGUGGCAGAACCAGCAGGUACUACCAGAUUGAAAUAUCCUUUCUGCCUACUUCUUGCAUGAUUUUGUGAUAUUAGUGUGUAUUUCUUUCCAUUUCUUAUAUGAUGAAUGUGUGAUCUUGUGUAAGUUAUUUUACCUUUGUUAAUGUUUUGAAUAUUAUUAUUCCUCAUUUUUCUCAGGUUGCAUCUGAGGGUGCUCAAUUAUCUACACAGAAUCCACCGACUUCUUCCCAACCUGAUCAUAACCUUAUGGGAUCAGAUGCAAAGUAUGAGUAUGAAAUGUCUGUCAACGGACAAGGGUUCCGUCCAGGUUAUGUGGAUGUCCACAAUAGCCAAGUGACAGAGCCUGAUCCUGUAAUCUCAUCGUCUACUGGGGAAGCACAGGUUCUGCAUAUUUACAUUUGCUGUCAUGUGAUAGAGACUUGUGAUCAUCAUUGAUAGGGUCUACUUAAAUGCUUUCUGUUGCAGGUCCUUGAGUCAAGAGAUAGAAGUUACAUGGUUGCCUCCCAGCCUGAGCAGCGCUUACAACAAAUUUCUUCCCAAUUUAAUGAUUCCUUAAGACUGAAUACUCUUGAUAAGAACAGUGAAGCAAAGGUUCAAUGCUUUGUUGCUCUAUAUUCUCUGCUUUUCUGAUACCGUUGGUUGCUUGUUUAAUUCAAAAGAAGCUUGUGAGUCGGUCAGAGACCUGACUCAGGAUGAACUUGAAAUGUUGCAGGAGCAAAAUGUUUUCAGUGAUCAGGAUUUAGAUGGCCAAGUUUCAACAGAAGAACAACCAAGUCCUGCCAGUGCAUCUUUGUCUGAAACAUCAAUGCAUUCAGUUAAUGUUGGUGAAGCCACAAUCAAUAAUGGGACUGUAGUAGGUUUGUCUGAAUCGUUGAUCUCAACCGGGCAGGCAAAUGUGGUUACUGUUGGAAAAACUUCAGAGACUUCCCUCCUUGAUGAAAGAUCUCUGUUGGCUUGCAUAGUUCGCACAAUUCCAGCUGGUGGUAGAAUUCGGAUCAAUUCAACGGUUUGUGUCCAUAAAAAAUAAAUUCCUCAUCUUAACUCUUUUUUUAUCCUCCCAAGAGUUGAUAUAGUUCCUUGGUGUCCAAUUACAGCUACCUAAUAGACUAGGCAAGAUGCUUGCACCUUUACAUUGGCAUGAUUACAAGAAAAAGUAUGGAAAGCUUGAUGAGUUUGUGGCUGGUCACCCGGAAGUGAGUGCCUGGAAUUUGAAAUUCUAUAUUAGACAUCCUCAUUUUAUAUCUGAGAAUUCAAAUUUGUGAUUUCAGUUAUUUUUUAUCGAGGGCGACUACAUUCAGCUUCGAGAAGGAGCUCAAGAAAUGAUAGCCGCGACGGCAGCGGUUGCUAAAGUUGCAGCAGCUGCUGCAGCAUCGCAUCCUUACUCGUCAUUUUUGCCUUCUGUGGCUGUUACUCCAAUGGCACAGUCUCAUCGACUCAAGAAAGUUCCAUCAAUUGACUCAAAACAACUUAAUGGUGUUAGUUUUGGCAAUGCUGGGGGUGUCUCAAAUGUAAAAAUAUUGAGUAAACCGAAAGAAUCUCAGGAAAUGAAUGGACCAGAUUUUGAUAGAUCAAGCAUAAGCAGCAAUCAGAGCAAGGGUUCACUUCAUGGGAGGUCCAACUUGAAUUUUGCUGGGAAGCAGCAGGGCAGGUAUGUUUUCAAUAUUUCCAAAUACUGGAACUGUUUUUGAGUGGGCAUGAAGUUACAUGCAGCUGUGGCUGAAGGGCUUAUUAAGUUUAACGUUAUUGAAUCAUUGCAGGACAACUGGAGCUGCAUUAACCUCUGGAAGAUAGUAAGUUUAUUUGGCUAGUAGCUUUUCACAUCAAACAUUAGGGUUUCUAUUAUUAUUAUAAUUAUUAUUAUUAUUAUUUUAUGGGCAUGGAUUUCUUAAUUUAGUCGAGUACAACUAAUAAAGUGCGUAAUUUGUGGGACAGGAGGAAACGUGGAAUCAUAUAGAUAAAAUAUAAAAGAAUGUUGAACAGGUGUUGUGAUGGAGCGCGCACAAGAUGAUCUGCGGUAGAAUGGGCGUACUGCCAAUCGAAAUUGCCAACCAGCUUUUGCUUAUAGAAUUCUCUAUUGGACUGCUCAGUUAUUCUCUUUAAAUUUAUGCCUUUUUGGAAAAGGGGAAAAGAAAACAUUUGUUUGCGUGUGUUUUUGUGAUCCAAAAUAGAACAUUCCGACUCUUUGCAGUAAUAUUCAUGCACAAAUUUGCAUGUGCAUCUGGUAGCUUUUUCAACCUUUGUUGGCUGUGGCUGAUCUGAGUGAUUUUCUUUUCUUCUCUCUUUUAUUUUUUGGGGCCAAAAGAGUUGCAUUAAAUAGAAAUAAGCUAAAGCCCAAGGUCCUUGCACAGUGGACAUAAAAAGCCUGAGGUAAGAGGAAAAGGAGAGGCUAUUGGAGGUUCAACAGCUUAUCUAGACAAACGGCCCAAAGUUUCUAAAUACAAAACCUAGUUGCCAAAAAUGCAUCCGCAAGGCUCGAAAGUAGCCGCCGUUUGGUUGCAGUAGAAUCAACACUGCAUAAUUCUUGUAUGUACCGGUGGCCUACAAGCAGAGAAACGACCAUCGACACUGAAGGGGGUGGUGGCCAGGAGCUCUUUGGUACAGACAAUCUGUCGGGUUGGUCACCAUGAGGCUAGGGAUAUUGUUCAUCAACUGAAAACUCAAAAACCUUCUCGCCAAAGCGGCAUGAGCUCUCAGCCCAAUGGAUCACAGCUAGCCAUUGUGCCAAGCCGUUGUGAGUCGGCCCCCGGGGGUGAGAAAUAUAUCAGAGUUGUUGCUACUCACCAUAUAAAACUCAAAGCACUUUCUACCAAAGCGCCAUGAGCUCACCUAUGCAAAUGGGGAGAUAAACUCUCUAGAUUAACUAAACUUCAUCUUCAGGUCUCCGAAGGACUUGCAACUAAAAAAAUUAAAACUAUCUAUAUAUAACCAACUCAGUAGUAUGGAGGGAAUAACCCACUAAUCGAGCUAAGAGGAAAAUCUUCACUGCGCAGAGGGAUAGAGGAGGCUAUAGAACUAGCAAAUUUAGGGACUUGACCCCAAAAGCAAAUAGAACACAAAAAGUGGAGAGCUUCCUUGUCUAAGAAUACUUUGUAAAGAGAGAAUUAGAACUAAUGAUGUAGUAGCAAGUGGUUUUCUGCUGAACUUUUCCUCAUUCUAUUUCCCUGAAGAGCCCCGCAAUAGAAUAACAACGCAUAGGAUAUUAUUUUGAUUCGAAGAUGUUCUGCCAAAUUAAUAAAACAAAAUUAAUUGAUGUUUCAUAAAAUCGCACUUUUUCAUUUUUAUAAUUGUGGGUAUAUGUCCAAUAGUUAGCGCCGGUCUGAUUUUAUCACAAAUUUGUCUAUCCAACUUGUUACCUUACAGCAGGGUCUCUCAAUCUUGAUUUAAAUUUUGGUUCGGGAAGUAGAAAAUUUGUCCAAUAUCUUUUUAUCUCAAAACUGAAGAAAGUUGAGUUAGACUCAAAACUUGAUUGGUUUGCUCUAGCUGGUUGUAGUCUGAUAGAAAAAAAAAAAUUUUUUUAUUCCAAAUUAGAUUUUGGUCUAAUUUAAUUUGGAUUGUUUGGGUUUUAAUUUAAUCCAAUGGUUGGUAAAUCAAUUGCACUAACUAGAUUUAGUUUAAUCGAAGAAGAAAAUGGUUUGAUUUUGAUUCUGAGUAGUUUUGAUCGACUUAAGAUUCGAACAAGAUGAUGGCCAGGAGUCUAUAGCUAAGGCCAUAUGUAUGAACUUAUUUAGAUCAGAAUUUCCCUCUAUUUCUAUCUAAAAGUUGUAAAAAGCUGCAAAUCCAGUAAUGUCAGUUUAGACAUUUGAUCGAACACUUUGAGUGAAAGCAUAGCAAUCACCUGCCUAGCUAGCGAUUCAAAUGGUAGGCUCCCUUCUCAGCCACAUUAUGAGCUUUUAGUGAAAAGUUUCUACUUUUGUCAAAUUUAACUUAAAUAUAUCUUUAUAUUAAGAUAUUUUUUAUUUUUUUCUGAUAAUUUAAUGAUUAAUUUAACGUAAAGAUUUUAAAACGACAUAUAUAUAAGACAAUUUCCUUUGCUACUAGAUAUAGUAUAGUGUAGCAGAAUUCUUAUUGACAUUAUGCUAGGCUGCAACUUAUAUUAAAUAAGUGGGAUCAAAUUUUAAAAAAAUUGUAAAUUCAGGUUUUUUUUUUCAAUCAUUAGGUAUUUAAAUUAUUUGACCUAGCAAUGCAAGUACAAAAGGAGGGAUUGAAAUAUAUGUAUAAAUGCAAAAACUGACUUAAACAUGCAAAAGCUUCUAAUUUCCUUUUAAGGAGAAGUAAAUUAAAAAAGCACUUUGAAAACUAAAAUGGCAAAGAGAAUGAUAGAAUACCUUGUCCAGAAAAAUAGGAAGGAGACCAAGCUUAGACUUGCAAAAUCUCUGGACAAGGGAUACACUAUAGAAGAUAACGAUAUUGAGGUUUUGUUGCUUACAAUAUAGCAGCUUAAGCAUUUCUCCAGUGAGAUUAUGCUUGGAGAUGAGGGGCAAAAAGAAGCUGCUUUUUCCCAUGUACAGAUACAACUAGCCUUCAGAGAUGUACCAGUGCACUUGGAAGUCCUUCAAAACUAUAAACAUUCAAGAAAAAUGGCCAAAGAUGGCCAUAUGAGUUGGUAUCGUCUGCUUUCAUACGUCCAUACCUCCAUCAUUCAUGCUGGGCAUCUCUCAUCUGCCGCUGUGCGAGGUGCUGCUGAUGGAGGUGGUGCUGCUGCUGGAGGUGAAGUGGCAGCUGCUGCUGAUCAUUGAUCUGGAAAGGUAGUUUCGGAGUGAAAUAUAUUGGUUGCUGAGACAUUGCAACUUGAGAUGGUUGAAUGUAAUGCUCUUGUUGCAUUGUGGACUGAGGGGAUGUCUGCAAUUUUUGACAGAAGCAAAUGUUGCAACAUUCAAAAAGCAAAGAGAAAAAGAAAAGUACUUUGGGGUGCAUUCAUCGGCAUUUUCACCUGAGAAGGCAUUGUUGUCCCUUGUGGUUGGGCAUCAGCUAUUCUAGCUAGGUACAUCAGGUUCUGCUGUAGCUGAGCUUGAUAACUGGAUCAUUCGCAAUGUCAUAUGGCCAAAUAUACCAAUAUGCACCAUGUAAAGGUACAAUGAAAUUGACUAAAUGCUACAAAUAUUUCUGAUUUUAGUAGUCUUUAGAUUUCUCUAAGCAAGAAAGGAGAUUAGCAUGCUUAAAUGUCGUGAACAUUUAGCUGAGAGGUUCUCUGCACUGCUCUUUCUUACAUUAUUCUACAUUCAACUACAUCUCAAAUAAGUAUAACAGCUUAUGUAUCUUCGAAACAUCUAAAUGAAUAGUGACGGAUCACAGGCUAAAUUGAACAUCUCAGUUAAUAAGAACUUUUGCGCUAACAUUCAUAUCAAACUCAACAUACCAAUAUCUUCAACAUGUGAGAAUACUGGAAACAGUCACCACAUCGAUAAGUUGAACACGUGUUAGCACAAUCGACAAUAUGAAAAUCACUUGCUACUUUUAAUGAUGGAAAAGAACUGCAAAUAAAGUCCAAAGUAUGCAAAUCAUACCAUUGGGUACCAUAACGGAAACAAAGAAAAGUGAGCAUUCUAGUUAGUUCAUCACUCACGAGGCACAUUCAGCAAACUUUCCCAUAUUUUGGUUCUCCAGUAUAGCCAUAAUUAACUGCUUAUUCUCGUCCAAGUACUGCAUAAAGCAUAAAGCAUAAAUAAAACAUCAUCAUCUUAAAAUAAUAAUCAAAUUUGUGAUUUACAUUUCUCCUCAAAAAACUCUGAUUUACAUUCUCUCCAAUAUUAGACGUGGUACAAAGCAAUCAAAAGAAUUUGGCCAACGCUAAUAGCUUGUGAGUAGUGCUAUGACAAUUGAUAUAUUAAUAAAAUGUAACUGAGACCCACAUCAUAUGAAAUAAGGAGUUAAAGGAAACAUCACACAAAUAAAUUAAAACCCAAUACCAAAAGUUGAGAGGCCAGCCCCUGAAAAACAAAAGGGAAAUGUUGAAUCCCAGGGAACCAACAUUCCUUGGCAAAACUUGCUUCUUACUCAAACAGUAGUACUAUCCGAUUCAGAUGCUCCAUUUCUAUCAAACAAAUCCUUGAUCAGAAGGUUCACAAGUCUAAUCAGUUCUUUUUCUUUUGCAAAAUGGGUUAUAAUAAAAAUCGCUUCUUUUUUUAUUCAAAAAAAAAUCUAGACGUUCAACAGCAAAGAAUUAGGACUCAAUAAAUCAAGGAAAUACCAACUUCCAAUCAGAAAACAAUUAAGAGAAAAGGGAAAAAAAAAGUUUUCUGAAUUUAAAAACAAAAUCUAAACGAUAAAGGGAUCCUACCACAAUGCAUGCAAAAGCAAAACCCAUUAUACAAUAUAACCAAACACAAAAUCUACCUAUGUGUAAAAGAUAAAACCCAUUACACAGCAAAUGAGAAAUGUUGUUAAUACCUUUUGAAUCUGCUCAGUAGUAAUGUUGAGUGAAGGGUUCAACAUCUGUGGCUGUGGUGUCUGUUGCAUUCUUAACCUUCACAAACUAAAACCCAAGACCCACUAAAACCCUAACCCGACUCUUCUCUGUCUGCGAACGAGGAAGAAGAAAAACUAGACAGAAAGGAAAAAAAAACGUAUGGAUAGAUAGAAUCAGAUAGAGACCAGUGCAGUGUGACUGACUAUAUAGGAUACUCAAUUUUGGUAUAUUUUGAUUUUGGUCACUAAAAUUUAAUUUUUAUUUUAAAACUUUUCAAAUUUUAAUUAAAUUUUUAUUAAAUUUAUUCUUAUUUAUAAUUGUAGUUUUCAAAUUAAUAUGAAUUUUAAUUAAAAAAAAAUCUCCAUCUCCUAUUAUUUACUUUUUUUUUGUUAUAUAUUUUCUAUUUUUUUCUUUCUUAAAAAUAUAGAAUUUUCUUUUUUAAAAUAUAUAAAAAUUUUAGAAUUAUAUAAAAUUAUUAUAGCUAUCCAUAACAAAAAAAUAAAAAUAAUAAAAUAAUAAAAUAUUUUUUAUUGAUAUUACUUAUACAUUAAUUAAUAAAAAAAAUUAAAAAUAAUAUCUUCUUUUUAAUAAUCAUCGUUAUUGUAUUUUUUUAAUAACAUUAAAGGUAUAUAAUAUAUAGGUUUUAUUUUAUUCUAUUUUUUUAUAAUUUAUUAUUUUAAAGUAUUUUAAAUAUUAAAAUUUUAUUCUAUAAAAAUAGAAUAAUAAUUAUUUAAAAUUAAUUUUGUUAUAAAUAUAUAUAAAAUUAUGUGAAUAACUAUUUAAAAAAUAUCCAUUAAACUUUAAAAUAAAAUUAUUAUUGAUAAAUAAUUUAUUUUUAAUAAAAUUUUAUAUUAUUAUUUUAAACAUAAAAAUGUUAUAUAUUUAAAAUAAAUUAAUAAAUAAUAUACAUAAUAUAAUUAUUUAAAUGUGAAAAUUUCAUCCAUAAAAUUAUCUAAAUUAAUAUUUAAAAAUUAUUCAUUAAUAUUUAAAAUAAAAUUACGUUUAAUUAAUAUUUUAUUAUUAAUAAUUUUUUGUGUGAUUUAAAAAUAAAAUAUAAAAAUAUUAAUUAAAUUAUUAAAAUAAAAUAAUCAAUAAUUAAUAAAUUGUAUGAAUAAAUAUAUAAAAAAAUAAAAUAAAGAAAAAGAGAAUAAAAAUAGAAAAUAAAUAAUAAAAAAUAUUUGUUUUAUUUAUAUUAAUCUAAAAAUUUAUAUAAUAAAUAAAAAAGAGUUUAAUAAAAGUAAAUUAAAAUUUAAAAAACUAAAAAAAAAUAAAAUUGAAUGGUGAAAUUAAAAAUAUAUACAAAAAAUUGAAUAAUUUUGAAUGAAAAUUAUCUGUCAAAAAACUUUGCGGAAGCUCGCGGAAAAUAAACAAUCCAAGAAAUUUAAACGACGUCGUUCCUUCAAGCAAAUAACGGGUAAAGAACCAACCGUUUGUCAUGGCCAUUCUGUAGUGGUAUACUAAGCGGCGUCGUAUUAGGAAGAGGUAAAAGCGAAGCUAUGCGGAACCGUUUCUGCAUCGAAGAGAAGAGACAGAGAUAGAGACGGUGUGAAGAGAGAUGGGUUACGUAUUGAGGGUGAGAAUGGCGUCAUUCUUCGCCGGAGCAGCAACGGCGUCGCUUCUGGGAUUCUACGUUCUUUACAAGGAUUACAAGGUUGCCCAUGAAUCCAUUUCUCAACAGGUUAGUACCCAAGAAGAAAAAUAGAAAACCCAUACUUUCUCUGCUCUUUUUGUUUUUAAUCCUCAAACAUCUGGAGAAAACAUUAAUAGACUAAUAUUUAGGAUGUGGGGUUUUUGGAUUUUUCUUGUUAUUUCGCUUUUGAAAACGUAAGCAAGUACUUUUACCUUGUGAUCCAAAGUUAACUUAUCAAUUUUAUUGUUUCAAAAUAAUAAUAGAACCUGUCGAUUCUGUUGGGUUAUUAAUGGAUUUCAAUUUCUAGAGAUGUAUUUAACUUGGUGGAAGAUUUCUUUUGUAUUGGUUCAACAAGAAAAGUUAAGGUAAACCCAGAAUCAUAGUUGUAGACUGGUAGUUUUUGUUUUUAAAUAUAUGUUUUCCCCUUGUAGUAUAGUUUAGGCAUUUGAGCUAUUCUUGUUGGGAGUGAUCGUUGCCUUGUGCACGUUUAGCCAGCAGAAAUGAGGGUAGGCUUUAGGUUAGGGUGAGGCGUUGAAUGGAUUGUUUGUAAUGUGGACGAAUUGGAUGAAUUUGGUGAAGAAAUGUGGAGAUUUGAGAAACCUCAACAAAAGUGAACUGUUUUGUGGAAUUCUUCUGAGCCACAUUGCUUGAUCUUAUGUGCUUUUUUAUGUCUGAACAGAAAGCCCAUUUCUUUCAAGUUUUAAUGUCUAUGCUCAAUUCCUGCUUUGAUUUAUUUGAACUUAGUAUGCUUGCUGAUGAUAUUUGAGUUUGUUUUCCCCCUUUUUCUGUGGGGUUAAUCCACUUAAGUUAUGGAUCUUCUUGCUGCAAUCUUGUUUUCUGACUUAAUGUCUGAUGGCGUUUCUUGUAGCCGCCUAGGGAAACUCUAUAAGUUACAGCCUAUGUUUUGCUUGGCUUAAUUACUAUGCAUGUAAAUGCCGAAUAUUUUAUGGGGCAAUUUGAUUUUUUUGGUCUCUUAUUCAUUUUCAUCAUAAAAUAUUUACAAUUAGUUAUAGGCAAAGACACACAUGAGUAGACUUCAGCAUUCACAAAUCAACUUGAAGGUGGCAUUGUCUAUUUGGAUGACGAUAAGGAAUUUAGUAAACUGGGCUCUCUGUGCUGGUGAGAUUGGCAAUGAAAAUGUGGUCCAAUUUUAUUGCUUUCUAGUGGUUAUGUAACAAAUUUUGCCUCUUUCCAUUCCAUGGUCAAUCUUUUUCAUUGACACGGUAAUCCCACUACAUAUAUUUACAAGGUUGCUUUGUUUUUUUUUUGUAUGGCGACAGAUCCAAUGUUGCAUCUCUUUGUAUUUCUCAUAUAUCUAUCUUUCUCUGUCUAUAAUUCAUGUGAGUGUUUAUCUCUAUAUGUUGCUCAUUCAGAUAGGGUAUGAUAUAUUUGGUAGGAUGGAAUCCUGGCAUUGUUUGAUGAGAAUUAUAUGUUGCCCCAUUUGAAUUAGGACCUAAAUAUUAUGUGCUAAUACGUUGCCUGCUAUCUAGCCCCACAUAAGUGCAGGUGUAUUUGAUUUCUCCUUGCUACAUGAAGAGUGAGAUAAUUGACUGAGAACAGAAACCCAUUAUUAUUUGAAUGUUAAUGUCGACUUCUUUUUUUAUUUUUUAUCAAUUGAAUAAUGAGAAUGCAGUAUUUUUGACAACCUGAACCAUGUCUCCAAGGGUAGGACUUUGAUUCCCUCCUUUAAGGGUUCCCCACAUUUUUAAGGCUAUAUUGGGUUAGGUAUUUAUCUCAAUGGAUGAGGGCACAUGGAUGGUCUUUUUGUGUGCAUGGAGAAGCAUCAAUAUGGUACUUAUUUUGUUUUAUCUUUGAUCAGGUGAAAGGCCUACAUGAUUCCCUGGAUACAAGGAUCUCUGCUUUGGAAACACUGAAACAAACUGAAGCUUCUCAACCUGCGCAGGCAACAGAGUAGAUGUCUUGGGGCAUUCUACUAGUUCUCACCUCAAACAUGUUUUUUCUAUUUAUGCAAUCAAUUUCCAUGUAGUUUUUCCCCCAUCUUAAAAAAUAAUUAUUACUUGAGAUUCCCUGUAUGAAUUGCAACAAUCAGUUGACAAGAUCAACCUGAAAACACGAGUUUGCACUUUUUCUGUUGGUCGAGUGCUGCAUUCAAGCGUUGAAGAUUUUCAAAUUUGUAUGCUGUGGUGUAAUUGCCAGGAGUUGGGAGUUGCACCAUGUCAUUGAAUCUAGCCAUGGCUGGUUAUUAGUUUGGUGCAUAUAGAACUCCAUGAGAACAAAUUUUGGGUGGCAGAUAACUGGACUUCAAAUAAAUUUAGGUUCUUUGAAAAAAAUAUUCAUGUUGGAUUCAUAUUUUGUGUCAGGUAUUCGCUAUCUAAUUGGUUUAUAUAAAUAAUUUAUAAACAGAAAAUAUAUUUCAUAAUAAAAUUUAUAAUCUUUGAAUACUAUAUUUAAAAAUAUAUAAAUCAUUAAUAUAUUGUGGUGUUCGGAUAAUGAUUAUCAACUUAAAUAAGUUUGGAAAUUGAAAUUAUUAAUCAGGUUGGGAAUUGGGAUGGUGUACAUGUGGAGUAGUGGAAGAAUUAAAAUGCAAAAUAUAGAAAUAGUGAAGGAUUAAAGUGUAAUUUGGCUAACCCCCCUAAAGGACUUUCAUAAUUAUCCCAAGAUCCUGUAAAGUAACGCUAGGAGCCUCAAAUUCUAACCUGUUUUGAUACAGACAAAACAUCAAGCCUGGAUCACAUGGUAUGCGUCAUUCAUCCCCAAGGUCGUAAGAUUAUGACAGGUUUGCUUAUUCAUUCCAAGGACUGAUACUAUGAGAGAAGAUAAGAUCAUUAAAGAUAUUGAUGGCAACUGAACUUGAAAAGAAAUAGUUACAAUAUCUCUAGGCAUUUUACUUUCAUCAAUUCAUAAUUUGUCAUCUAACAUCUUCCUGUUCUGCAGUGGAAAUCACCUCAGUGACAACCAAAAACUUCUGGGUUUUUUCUAUUAUUUACACAUGUUUCAUGUCAAUUGUUCAACUUGAUAAGAGAAACUACCAUGUCUCUCAUGGAGGGUCUCACAUCAGGCAUUGGUUCAGUGCAUUCAAGCCCCAAUUCUAACAAUCUCAAAGCCUUUUGCUGCUCAUCUAUUUCCCACAAACUGAUUUGCUCAUCCAGGAAACAAAUGUACUCAUCAUUUUCUUGCAGCUUCUUCCUUGUCCAGGCGACAAUAUCCUGAUCUUCUUCAAAGCUGGGGUCUACUGGCAAUUUUCUGCAGAGAAGCUCAAGUAAAAUGACUCCAUAGCUGUAUACAUCAACUUUCUCCGUCAAUCGGGUGGCAUAUGCAUUUUCUGAAUUGUGGAUAAGGAGCAAGAAGAGACCAUUUUAGAACUUAAGCUUCUACCUUGAAAAUCUAACAUAAUGAAGUAAAAGCAUAGUUUAAUAUAGUAGAAUGCAGUGUACCUGGUGCAAUGUAACCCAAUGUUCCUACAACUGAAGACCUUGUGCUCAAAUCAGAUUCAGAACCAAGGAUCAAUCUUGCCAUCCCGAAAUCUCCAAUCUUUGGUUCCAUUUCGGAAUCCAUCAAAAUGUUAUCUGAUUUAACAUCUCUAUGAAUAAUCUGUGGCAGACAGUCAUGGUGAAGGUAAGAAAGGCCUUGAGCAAUUCCAAGAGCAAUCCGAUAUCUGGUUUCCCAGUCCAAAACCAAGCGAGGUUCGUGUUCGUGCAGGAUAUUGAAAAGUGUUCCUUCAGGCAUGUAUUCAGUAACAAUGAAUCCAUAUCCAUCUUUGAUGCAGUAACCAGCCAUUCUAAUUAUAUUUCGGUGCCUUACCAAGCUCAAGGUUCUCAUUUCAAGGCUAAAGUUUGUCUCGGAUAAAUUCACCUUCUUGACAGCCCAAUGCUUCCUGGUGUUCAUAGAUUCUGUCCGGUAAACUGUCCCAUGCUUCCCCCUCCCUAUUACAUACUUCUCGUUCCAGCCUUCAGUAGCACGCAUUAUAUCUUCAAAUUUCAAUUCUUCUGGUAAAUCUUGUGUCACCGAUUGACUUUCAUGAAGUGAUUGAUCACGGUGGUAUUUUUGCUGAAGGCCUCGAACCAGUAUAACAUAAAUCAGAACACAAAGCAAUGAUACAGAAACAACUGCCCCAACAACUAUAGCAGCCAGCUGAUACCUUCUUGUAUGGCCAUCUCUAGCUUCUCCACAGUAUCUUGCAUCACUACCUAGCAAACAAAGUUCAGGAUUUCCAAGGAAAGACCCUGGAUAUGAAACCAUUAUUUUCAUCCAUGUAGCUGGGAGUUUCCCUGAGAGUUGAUUGAAUGAUACGUUUACAAAGUAAAGAGAGAUCAUGUCGUUCAGUACUGCCGGUAUCUCACCAGAGAAACCAUUGCUUGAGAGAUCAAGAAUCUGUAACUUGUCUAGAUUGCCAAGGCAGCCAGGGAUUUGACCAGAGAGCUUGUUAUGGCUCAAAUUAAGAACUGAACUAAAAUGCUUAAGAUUACUCAAACUACAGGGAAUAGGACCUUCGAGCUUGUUAUCAGAAAGCUGCAACUCAAAGAGAUUUUGAAGGGAAGCAAAAAUGUCCGGAAUUACUCCACUAAGUUUGUUCUCUUGAAGGAGAAGGCUUUGUAAUUUUACCCAUGAAGUAAUCUCCGUAGGAAUUUUCCCUGAGAGCUCAUUCUUACUUAGGUCCACUUUAAUCAACUUUCUGCAACUACCAAUGUCAGAGGGAAUAUUCCCUGUCAGUCUAUUAGAAGCAACUCUUAAGAUUUGAAGAUUUUCAAGCUUUCCAAGCUCAGCAGGUAUAGCACCAGAUAGCCUAUUUUCUGAAAAAUCAAUCAUUGUUAGAUUGCUCCAAUGACCAAAUACUGGAGGUAUGUUCCCUUCGAGCAAGUUUCCGCGAACCACUAGAAACGAAACCCCAGAAUUCCUUUCCAAAUCGGCUGGUAUACUCCCUUGCAGAAGGUUGUUACUAAUAACCACCCUCCUAAGGGACGAACAUGUUCCAAAAACAGUUGGAAAACUUCCAUUAAACUUGUUAUCCCCAAGGGCUAGAACUGAAAGAUUAUUGCCAUUGCAUAUGGUAGAAGGAAUUGGUCCAUAGAGGUGGUUACCAGUUAGAUCCAGUUUAACUAGACCUGGAGAACUUUUCCCAAUAUCAGAAGGUAACUCUCCAAUAAGAUUAUUAUGAGCUAAUGAAAGAAAGUUGAGUUUUUUCAAAUGGGCAAUUUCUGAAGGGAUUCUUCCAGAUAAACUGUUGUUAUACAUGGCCAAUUGGACAAGGUUACUCAUUCUUCCUAUCUGCCAGGGAAUGUGGCCUCGAAUUCGAUUAUUGAACAUAAAAAGAACCUCAAGAUUCUCAAGAUUACAAAUUUCAGGAGGGAUAUUCCCACCAAUGAAGUUAUUCUGAAUCCUGAGUUCAGCAAGUGAAGUGCAAUUUCCAAGCUCAGGAGGCAAUGAGCCAUUAAGCUUGUUAUCAAAGAGAAAUAGACUGUUCAGAUGUUUUAGAUUUCCAAUUGACGGAGGAAUCUGGCCAACUAGAUUAUUACCAGAAAGAGCAACAACAGUUAUCUCAGAGCACUGACCUAUCUUCUCAGAUAUGGUACCAUUGAGCUUGUUCCCUGAAAGAACAAGCUCUUGCAAAUUUUCAAGACCCCAUAAAGUUUCUGGAAUCUCCCCUUCAAAUUUGUUAUCAUCAAGAUAAAGAAUUUCAAGUUGCAAAAGACUCUUGAAAAUCUCUGGUACAAUGACACUUUCAAAUUUGUUUUGAGAUGCUAUAAACACGGUAAGAUUUCGGCAGUUACUAAGAGAAAGAGGCAAAGACCCAGAAAAUGCAUUCCCAUGAAUCCAAAGAUCAUUGAUUGCACAAGAAGGUGAGAAAUCUGAUAAUGACCCAGUUAAGUUAUUUGUGUUCAGAUACAGAAACUUCAAUUUUGGCAGUGAAAAUACUUCACUUGGAACCUCACCACUCAAAUAAUUGUUAUAGAAUCCUAUGUAUUCAAGCUUGUAGCAAAAGCUUACCUCAGGAGGAAUAUUACCAGAAAGAGAAUUAUAACCCAAGUCCACCCGUAAAAGCUGCUUUGAUUGAAAAAGCUCAGAAGGAAUCAAACCUUCAAAACCAUUGUCAUUUAGAAUAAUGGUAUUCAAAUUUCCACAAUUUCCAAGCAACUGGGGAAUAACACCAGUGAAAUUGUUUCCACUGAGGUCAAGAGAGACCAAAUGUUUAUGGAGGCAGAGAUAAGAAACAGAGUUGCUCAAGAUCCCAGAUAGACCAAACCCAGAAAGAUUCAAGGCCUUAACUUUAAAGUUCUUGGUGGAAUAGCAAGUGAUUCCGGGCCAAUGGCAAGGAGAAGAAAGUGAAUUUGAAAAAUUCCAUGGCAAGAGCUGCUGAGAAUGUGGAGGAAGACUGUCACGAAACUGCAGAAGAUAAAUUGCAGAGGGAGGCAAUGAGAGCGAAGAGGAUAGAAAAGGGAUAAGAGAGAUGAAGACAAAAUAUGGAAACAGCAAGAACAUGGUAAAGGAUUUUGUUGCUAAACAUGGCAAGGGAAGUGUGACAUGUUUUGUUUUGAUUUUCUAGAUUGGUUUAGAAAUUAUUUGUUGCAUCAGCCAUUUGUGGGUUGAACAAAAAUAUCUCCAAAUGGAGGUUUUCUGGGUGCUGCUGCCUGCUUCUGCUGUCUACUAACUGCAUUCUGAUUUUGUUCUUUUGCUGCUUUUGAGGAAGCGGUGCUUUGGAAGUGGAGAUGGGCUAUUAGCCUAUGUAAAAAAUAUAUAUAUAUAUUUUAAAAAUUUUUAAAAAUUUAAUAAGAUUUUAUCUAUAUUUUUAAAGAAAAAUUACUUUUUAGUCCCUGAGAUUUAACGUAAUUAACACUUCUGUCCAUCUAUUUUGGCGACCCAACACUUAAGUCCCUCACUUUCUCUUCCGUCCAAAUUCGUAGUCCUUCCGUAUAUUUAAACCGUUUGGUCAAAGAGUUAAAAGUGAGAGGUGAUAAUUUUUUCCAAAAAUACCCUUCUCUCAAUGUGAAAUUCCUAUUUUUUUUUUCUUUCAUGUUUUCUUCAGUUGAAGAAAAAGAAGAAGAAAAAGAAGAAAAAGAAGAAGAAAAGAAGAAGAAGAAGAAGAAGUUGCAGAAAGGGUAGAAAGAAGAAGAAGAUGAGGCAUUUGGGUUUGAGUUUAGUGAGGAUUAAUUUUGUCAAUUCCCAUAUCCCAAACGGCUAUUUUGGAUGGAAGGACUACGAAUUUGGACAGAAAAUAAAGUGAGGGACUUAAGUGUUGGGUCGUCAAAAUAGAGGGACAGAAGUGUUAAUUAUGUUAAAUUUCAGAAACUAAAAAGUAAUUUUUCUAUUUUUAAUAAAAUUGUUAAAAGUAUAAAUUAUAUUUUAUUUAAAUUAUAUUUAUUUGUAAAAAAAGAAAAAAAAAAUCUUACCCAUAUUUUUUAUGAUGGUCAAAUAUUAAAUAAGCUUACAACUUUACAUUUAAAUCUAAAAACAUUUUAAUUUAUUAAAAUAUUAAUUUUAAGAAAUUUUUAAAUUGUAAUUCUUUUUUAUUUUAAUAAAAAAUAAUAUAUAAGUUUUUAAUAUUUAAACAUUACAUAAAUAAUAUUUUAUUAUUGAAUAUAACAUUUUAUUAUAUUAGAAUAUAUUUACCAUUCAAUCUAAAGUUGUGAGUCUAUUUAAUUAAAAAAUUAAAAAUAAAUUUAUUUAUCUUUUGAUAAAAUAUGAAGGUAAAGGUAAAACUUAUUUUCUUAUGAAAAAUGCUUAUAUCGUUAAAAAAAAUAAAAAAUUUACAUAAUAAUAUAUUUUUAUUGAAUAAUUUAAAAAUAAAAAGUAUUAAUAAAUUUAUAUAUAAAAUAAAUUUUAUUAUCAAAUUUCAAAAUAUCUCUUUUAAAAGAAAGAAAAUUAUUUUCAUAAAAUUGAAUAAAAAGAAAAUUAUUUUUAUUAAAUGACUUUAUUUUCAAUUUAAGUAGAAAAAUAUUUUUUGUAACAAAGGAUAACUUUAUUUUUAAUAAAAAAAUUUCAAUUAACAAUUUUUUAAGUGGUUUAAAAAUUAAAAAAUAGUUCUCAAAUAAUAUUUUUAUAAAAAAAUGGAAUUUAAUAAAAGAAAAAGCAAACCCAAUAGGAUUAAAAAUAAAUUAUUAUUUAGUCUUUUUUAUAAUAUAAUAUUUGUAUUUUAAAAUAUAUAAUUUAUCUUUUUAUCAUUAACUUUGUUAAUAAUUUUAUUUUCUUUUAACUUUUAAUUAAUGAAUUGAAAAGCAAUCACUCAGACAUAACAUUUAAGAAUAAAAAUAUUCAUAAAGAUAAUCUUUUGAAAUAUAAAAUUAAAAUAAUUAAUUUCAAAACUAAAUAAUAAUUUUUACACUUGGAUUCGAAGAAAAGAUAUAGCUGCCGUGCAAGGAUUACUUCAAGUUGGGGAAGAAUGAUGUUGCUCACUGCUCACCAUAGGAUUAAUCACAUGCUUAUGGGCCAUUGCCAUUUGCCAAUUAGUAUUUAUUGGUCUGUUUUUAUUUCUAUGAAUUUAUUAAAAUAUUUAAUUUUUACUUUAUAUUUAUUACCAAUUAGUAUCAACUGCAUUUUUUUUUUAUUGUGUUUCUCCACGACUUUUAAAUGGGAUUGUGAAUAAAUACAUUUUUGUUGACUGAUCGAUGACUAUUUAAGAGAUUUUUUAAAAUUUAUCUUCCCUUUUUCUUUAUUGCAGUUUAGUUGUGCAUGGUAGACUUUCCUUUAUCUUUCUAUGAAUUGUGGUUAAAUUUUAGAAUUUCAUUUUUUUUCUGAUAUAUAAGACACUAAUUGUUGGGUCCUAGAAUUUUAAAGUCCUAGAAUUUUAAGGAUCAAAACUGUAACUUUUUAACAGUGAAAUUUUCGGAAAAUAAUAUUGGAAUAAAUUAAUGUAAAAUAUAAGUAAGUUAAGGGUCUAUGGAAAUUCUGAGUUGUGCCUUCACUCCUUGUAGACCGUCUCCCUAUCUACAAGGGAGGUAAGAAGUAUUGUAACGAUUGUGUUGAUGGUAAUGUAUAAUUAUUAUUUUGCCAUUGGAAUAAAAUAAGUAGUGUGUUCAUGAAUUCUCGUGUUUAGUGCUUAUCUCUUGUGUCUAUCGGGAGGCUUCUGAUUGGAUGAUGCCUGUAGGCUUCGUUCUUCGUUUAUAUAAUCUUGACUAAUCAGGGUAUUUAUGUUCACAAGGUAUCGAGUAAUUCUUAAGUCUAGCUUGGCCAGAAGGUGUUCAAGCCAAGUGUCGCACGGUCCCAAUUGGGUGUUGAAAUGCGGGCCUGUGACAGUUCGUAUCAGAGUUUGAACAAUCUACAAGCAAUGUGGAAGUAUGAUGAAGUUGGUCGUAUGCAUUGAUGCCCUUGGGAGGAGGGUGGAUGAUCUUGCCCCAUUGUCUAAUACAUUUGCCACCCAAAAAGGGAUGGCAUGAGAGAUUGUUUCUGUUUGCCUGCGCAUGGUGGUGCUAGAAGAGAAAAUUGAGCAAUUAUUGGCUGUGAUAGGCAAAUUGUCCAGACGUGAGGGGGAGCCCACGAUGGUGGAGCCAACCCAAAAUCCAGCUUCUCGAAAUGGCACUUGGUAAGGUGAUCUUGAGACAAAAGUGAAUAAGAAUGAGGCAGUGGCCUCCUGAGAUAGAAUUGAGGCAGUGGUCUCUUUAAAUAAAAUUGAGACAGUGGCCUCCCUGAAUAAAACUGAGUAGUGGCCUCCUUGAACAAAAUUGAGGUAGUAGCCUCCGGUGUAUUCUGCUAGAAUUGUACCGCAACGUUGAAUUCGAUAUGGGAGAAGCCUAUGGGGAUCACUCUAGAGAUGAACUGGAGGAUCAAAUAGCAAUGACGAGAGUUGUAGUCUAGUUCCUAUGAGAGGGCUGAUGAAGCAAGCCCAGCUGAAACCAAUGGUAAAAUUUGCUAGCUAAUAUUAAGAUGGAUGCCUAUGAGGUAGGCAAUAUUGAAGGUCUAGAAAAAUAAAUAUUGGCGCGAUGCAAGAGAUGUGUUGGAGGUAAGUGAUUUCCUCUCCAUUAUAAAUUUAUUUUCUUUGGUGCUAUUGAAGAUUGUUGUGUAGAUAGGUUGAAAGUUGUAUCCAUAUGUUGGAUCAACAAGACUUUCCGAUAUAGGAAGCUAAAAGGAAGAUUUUAUGGAAUGGGAUAUAUAACUUAUACCCACGAGAUAGCGAAGAGGAUAUGUAGAUGCAAUUUUACUCUAAGAACGUGACAUUUAAUCCUCGAGGGAGUUGGUAAACUCUAAUAUUGAGUUCAUAAGUAAAAGUAUGCAAGUGACAUUUUCAUAUCUCGUUGGUAACAUAAAUAUGUGUUGGAGCUUAUUGGAUUAGAUGAUUUUAGAGAUGGUUGAACCCUGAGACAAAGAAUGAGUGUUAAAGAAAUGUAAAGAAGGAUUGUACAGUGCUAGUGACAAUUAAAAAUUAGUCAGUUAGGCUAACACGGAGUCGAAGAGAAGUUCAACUCUCGACAUCUCAUUAUGAGCACAAUCCAGACAGAGGAGUUAAAGCGAUAAGUGGAGGAGCCACCAAAAGUGUCAAACAUGAUAUAAGGCAUAAUAUGUGUUAAUCAGAACAAGCUGGAGCGAAGGUGAUAAAGGAAAAUUUAGUAAACAAAACAUUAUGAAGGUAAAAUCGUUAAGUAUUGUGAAAUGUUCUUCAUGGAAAAGCUGCAUUAGGUUCCAAAUUGCCUAUGUAGAAGUGCUUCAAGAGGAAGAAAAGACCUUGUAGAGAAAUAGAGGGAAACUCGAUAGGGAGAAAACAUAUAAUAGGAAUCAAAGGGUUAUUCAAUGUGGAUGGCUUAUGCAUUCUUGUGUUCUCAGAAUAGUGUUAUUUGCGUAUAAGAAUACAUCGAACUGCUAAUAUUGAUGAGGGUGGAGCAGUAAAGGCUUUCACAAACAUUAUAAUUAUAUAUAAUCCUAGGAGUGAUACGAUAGCUAUAAUGCUUAUAUAAAAGGGAUGAAAAAAAAAAAAUAUAUAUAUAUAUAUAUAUAUAUAUAUAUAAGAGUUGAAAUGAGCUUGUGAGAAGAUUGAGUUAUGUAGAUACGAGUAUCAAGGUAAAAGUAAUAGAGGCAGUUGCAGGUACUAAGGUCGUUGACCAAUGUGCCAUGGGUACAGUCACAUCAAAGCCAAGAUUAAGGGUGCAAUAAGAUAAAGUAAGAGAAAAUGAUGUAGUCAAACUCGAUACAUUGAGCAUUGUGAUAGGUCCUUGAGGUAUCCAUUCAAUUGGAGACUUAGAAAGGUGAAAUAAAUUUGAUGAGAACCCUCUUAAUGGUUUGAGGUGUUAACAACAGUGGAUCUUUACAAGGACUACAAAGGUGAUCUCCAUUCCAAUUAGGGAAGAUCCUGUUAAUGGAGAGAGUGUUUGGCAUGGAGUAAGAAGAGCAUAGUUAAUGCAUGCUUACAUCAAUAGUGGCUAUUCAACACAAGUAGAUCAAAAGUAAGCUUAACAUCGAUUAUCAACGUGUAAGGCUGAACAUUGGUAUUGCUAGUUUCUGAGUAAAUUUAUUAUUUUCUUAUUAUAGUUUCCUUUUGUAAAACAAUAUAAGCUUGAUUUGUAAAACAAUAUAAGCUUGAUACUUAACUUGUGCACAAAUUUGUUUCCUUAUGGUUGACAUAUUUAGCAAUAAAGUGGUAUUGGUGCUAAAGUGAAAUUUCUAUACCAAGGGAGAGCUCGGGUUACUAACUUUAAAAAAGGUAGAAAAUGGGGGACAAAGAAGGAAGAAUGGUGUUAUACAAUGACAAUCAGAGACAUGGUUUUCUAUCUAACCAAUGCGAACCGAGAAGCAGAACGAGUGCGAAAUUCCAAGAGAGGGAUUAUUGUAAAUAUCUCUUGAAUUUCUUGUAAUGUUAUAUAAGACCAAUUAUUUUGCAUGUCUUUGUGUGGUGAGAAAUCAGAUUCCUUGUGACCUACUUGAUGAAUUUAUAGUAAUUGAAGGUAAGAACAUAAUAUGUUUUCUGGCUGUUUCAAAUUGAGUUUGUGUCCCUUAGAUAAACAGAGAAGAGAAUGCUACUAUUGUUCAUGUGUAAAUCAACUUAUUGAAACUUAUAAUCAAGUACAAAAAGAAUUCAAGAAUACCAACGUAGAAAAGUACUGCGAAGGAAUAAGAGGCAAUUAAGGAUAAAAGAGUAUCGAAUAAUGUGUGCCAGUGACUAAGCAAUCAUGAUGGUGGAAAACAUGUUUACUUUUCAAAGAGUUAAAAGCAACCUUUCAAGUUGCAGUAGAAAGAAGCUCGUGUAAAUUUGGAGGAGGCGGAAGAUAGGAGGAUCAUCAUGCCGAUUAAAGUUUGGUUUCUACUCGGGGCGAUACCUAGGAAAAAUGUCAAAGGAGCUACAAAUGAAUCAAGUAUCAAUGGAAAACCACAAUUGCGACAAAGCUAAGAAAUCACACGAUGAAUAACAAAAUAAAAAUAGAAGAUAAUUAGAGAACAACGCAAGAUAUGACCUUGGAGCUAGACAACAAAAGUGUGGUAUCCAAGGUGGUGAUCAUUAGUAAAGUCCUAGAGGUAACUUAGAGUGAUAAAAUGGUAAUGUGAAGGAACCAUCAACCUCUAAUCUGGUAUAAUGUUUCCUAAAUUUCUUGACACAUUUCAUUACAUAAAUUGUUCUUGGAUAUUUUGAUAGUUUUUAGUUGAGUUCUUUGUGUGAGGGACUCGAGAAAAUUUGAACUAACCGAUAUUGAUCACAUAUAUUGUGUAGCUAUCUGUAAGGAAGGAAAUGGAGUAUAACAUGGUUUUGUUAGAAUUUAGUUGGGUUUCAAUCAAGUGUUGAAUAAGGCAUAAAACCCAUGAGACCAACUGAGAUAAAAGAAGGGCGCCAACACAAAAGAAUGUCAAAGAGGAUUAAGGAACAUACUUGUAACUUGAGACCAAUGGUUAUGGGGUUGCCACUGGCAGAACAAAGGAAGUGUCUCUUAUCAAUUCAUUAUUGUUGAGUUAAAAUAGUGUUGUUAUUUGUUUUGGAUAACAUGUUUAAGUAAUUAUUAUCUUAGGAGGCUAAUGACAUAUCUUAGGAGAUUAAUGAUAUUUCUUAUGAGACUAUUACAAAUAUAAAGAAGAAAGACUAUCAACACUUAAGGAAUAGGCAUAACAGGACGUAUGAAGGAGGAAACAGGGUAAAUCAACGUCAAAUCUAGCUAUACAGAUUUCUUAUGGCGUAGUGCGUGUGGAUGAGAUGAGAACAUCCUGCAAUAGAGAUUUCACAAACCUAGUCAUCACUGAGAACCAACAGUCAACAGAGUUCAGUGCAUAAUUUCAAAUAGAGGAUUGAAGUAUCCACCUCCAAACACAUUUGCAGAAGAUUGUGACACUAAAGAAUAGAGCAUCUAAGACCAAGUGUUCGAUCAAAUAUCAAUUUUUGUGCAAACAACAUACAAAAGAACCUAUGACAGCAACUCCAAAUGUGAUAAAGAAUUAAGUGUCCAAGCAGAAGAUUGAAGAGCUCCGAGAAGUUUAGUCGACAAGGACGUCGACCAUUUAAGUGGGGGUGAGUGUUAGGGUCCUAAAUUUUCAGGGACCAAAACUAUAAUUUUUCAAUAGUAGAGUUUUCAAAAAAUAAUAUUGAGAUAAAUUAGUGUAAAAUAGAAGUAAGUUAAGGGUCGUGUCAGAUUUCUAUAAUUCCCUUUAGAUUAUUUAUUUAGAGGGAUGUGUCAUUUGAGACAUAUUGAUAUCUCCUCCUGCCACAAGCCAAGUUGUUCUUAAGACUCUUUAAGGGGGAGUGACUAGUCGGCCACCAGCAGGGGCCGGGCCCAGUUGGCUACUGUAGGCCUACGAAAAUCCUGAGUCGUGCCUUCACCUCUUGUAGACCGUCUCCCUGUCUACAAGAGAGGUGAGAAUUAUUGUAACGAUUGUGUUGAUGAUAAUGUAUAAUUAUUAUUUUGCCCUUUGAAUAAAAUAAGCAGUCUGUUCAUGAAUUCUCGUGUUUAGUUCUUAUCUCUUGUACUUACUGUGAGAUUUUUGAUUGGAUGCUACUUGUGGACUUUGUUGUUCGCUUAUAUAAUCUUGACUAAUAAGGGUAUUCAUGUUUAUAGGAUAUCAAGUGAUUCUUAAGGUUGACUUGACUUGAAAGUGUUCAAGCCAAGUGUCGCACAGUCCCAACUAGAUGUUGAAAUGCGAGCCCAUGACACUAAUACUAUCCAUAAUGUUUUUUAGAUAAUUAGUCUCUCAAAGAUUGAAAGAAUUAAUGAGUUUUGUUCACUGGUUGUCGUUCUUGUUGACUCAAACCAUUUUACUCUAUAUAUGUUGUUUUAUUCUUUAGCUCGAGAAGUUAUUGUUUGUUAAGAAACUUCGUUUCUACUUUGAAGAUCUAGUUUUCUCUAAAUCUCCUUAUCGCUCUAAUAGUAUUAAAUGGGAAUUAACUUUAACAAAAAACAUUACAUUUCUCAUGUUUGAAACACAUUUACAUUUAUUCAUUUAAUAUAGUACUUUUUAAUAUAAAUAAAAACUUUUCACAAUAAUAAAAAGAAUAUAAUAUUUUUGAUGAUUUAAUUUUUAUGUUUGAAGUUAUUUAUAAAAUUUUCCUUUAAUUGUAAAAUUAUUUAUUCAAUUAGUUAUAUAAAUUUUUAGAACAUUGUUCAAAGGUUCCUACUAGAUUUGUUUUUAAUUAUUAAAAUUUAACAUGAUAUUUUUAUCUUUUAUAUUUUUUAAGUAAAUCAAAUAGUAAAAUAAAAAAACCUUUGUGAGUGAAGAAAAUUACUAACUGAAAAAUAUGCUUUAGAGUUAAAAUGAUUUUCAUAAAAAUUAUGAGAAUUAAUAAAGAUUUUAUUAUUAAUAAUAAAAACGAUAAAAAUACUUUAUAAAUUAAGCAUCCAUAAAAAACAAGUUUGAAGUGUUUAAAACCUUUCUAUUAAGUAUUUAAAAAGCUUUUGUAAUUAAAAAAUAAUUUUACAACAAUAAAAAAUAAAUAAUAAAAUAUUUAAUAUUUAAUUAAUUUAAUUAAUUUUUUACGUUUUAAUUAAUAAAAUUUUUUGUAUUAGUAUAAUUAAAUAGUAAUUUUUUAUUUUAAGUAAAAAAAUAUUUUUUAUUAUUGUCUGAACUGAUAAGCGGGCCCAUUGAAUGAUUUUGUUGAGGAUAAGAUCUUCUCUUCUCAGCGGCUGCACCCUCUCUGGACAUAUGGUCACAGUCAAGUAGACAAGGGUUGGUGCGGGUUUGAAUUUGAAAUUGCUUAAAACUUUGGGUUUGACUAGAAUAUUAUAAAUUGAAUUAGAUUAAUUCAAAUUUAAUUUUAGUUAAAAAUAAAAAAUUUCCUUUGAAAAAUUGAAAUAUUAAUUACUAAAAUUAUAUUAAAUUAAAUAAAUCAAAUUAAAAUUGCAAUAAAUCUUUUAAUUUGAUUUUAAUAUAUAACUUUGUACACAAUUCUUGAGUUAUUCUUAUAUAUUGAGAAUAAAAAAAAAUACCAUACAAAUCACAAUAUAUUAUAUAUUUAUUAUUUUAAUUUGAUUAUUUCUUCAUUAGUUAUUAUCUAAAGCACAUACUAUUUAUAAAAUAUAUUUAUAAAAUAUAUUUUAAAUGUUAGUUAUUAUGACUGCUGCAUUUGGAUCACAAUCGAAUUCUUAUAAAAGAGUUAAAGCCAAGAUAUAUAAGAAUUUAUUAUGCAUACUGAACCAUUAGCAUACAAUUCUAUUUGUGGUUUCAAACAUCUUGAUCUUAUUAAAUUCAUAAGAAAAUCCACAAGAGAGGGAUAGGUCAGAGUCUCAUGACAAUUUAACACACUGAAACAUGAUUAUGGUUUGAAAUGUUGAAAUCCGGCUUAUUUGAUUGGAUGGAUCAAUAGGACUACAUACUGCUAUGUAUUUAGAAUUAAACCCAUGUAAGUAUACGAAUAAAAUAAAUAAUUAUUUUGUAAUGAAAAAAAAUAUCCAUACGUACGGCCUAAUAUAAUGAGAACAAGCCGUUAGAAGAUAAAAAAAGAUAUGUGAAAGAAAAAAGGAAAGUAGAGACCGACUUUUUGAAAAAAAUUUAUUUUUUCUUAGAUUUUAGAUUAUUAAUUAUAUAUUUAUUUAAUUAAUAAAUUACAUAAUUAAAAAAAUAUAGAUAAUAAUAUUAUUAUUAGUGCAAUUUUAAUUUUAUUAUAAGCAUAAUAAUAUUAUAAUUUUGUGUUAAAGUUAAUAUUCAAAUUGAAAUUAAAAUAAAUUUGAAACAAUAAACAAAUGUACUAAAAUUAUUUAAUAUUUAAAAAUUAAAGAAUUGAAAAUAUAAUUCAAUUUCAUAAUUAAAACCAAUAAAAAUCGAAAUUCAACACGGCAACACCUUUAAUUUCGUUUGAAAUUAAAGUGCAUCUAUGUCGCUGCACCGCAUGUCGGAAGCGGUGCAAUCGGUUAUGCCUUUUGAAACAUUUGACAUUUGAUAUUAUAACGAGACAAAAAGUACUUUGCUAACCCCUCAUAGAUUGGGGGUUAAAUGGAAUACGCUAGAUUCAUAUACGGGUGAGCAGUAUUCGGUUCAAAUCGAAAAAAUCGAUCGAACCGAAUCGAUUUGAAAAUUUAAUUCAGUUUUUUAUAUAUUUUAAUUCGAUUCGGUUUUUAAUUUUAAAAAUUUUGGUUAUUUCGGUUCGGUUCGGUUUUGAUCAGAAAAAAAUCGAAAAAACCGAACCGAACCGAACCGAUUAGUAAUAAUAAUAUGUUUUUUCAAUAAUAUAUAGAAAUUAAAUCAUAUUAAAAUUAAAAUAUUUUAAUUAAAUUUUAAAAUAUUAAAAAUAAAGUGUAAAAAAUAAAAAAAUUAUUAAAAAUCGAAACCGAUCAAACCGAACCGAAUCGAACCGAAUCAGUCCGGUUCGAUUCGAUUCGGUUUCUGACCAAAAUUGGUUCGGUUAGAUUUUCAUAAACACUCAAAUUUCGGUUUUUGGUUUAUUCGGUUCGAUUCAAUUUUGAACCGAACCGACCGAAUGCUCACCCUAAAUUCAUAAGAGCUGUAAGUAAAUUAAGUUAUUUGUAAAUUAUUUAAAAUUUAAUUUUAUAAAAAUAUGAUAAAAUUUAAUUUAAUUUUUAAAUGAGUUGAUUUUAAAUUUAAUUUUUGAAUUUAUUUAUUAAACGAGUUAAAUUUAAAUUUAUUAGUAUUUAAUUUAUUAAAAUUCGCGAGUUUAUUUAUUAAAAAAUUUAUGAAUAAAUUCGUUAAGAGAUUCGUAAAUAUGUUCAUUAAAAAAUUUAUGAUCAGAUUCGUUAAGAGAUUUAUGAACAGACUCGUUAAAAUACUCGUUGAACAGGUUCAUUAAGAUAUUCAAUUCGAUUCAAUUACACUCUUAUUUUAUAUGAAUUAAUUAUAUAUUUUUUUAGUUAUUUAAUUCAUUUAUCAUAAAUAUUAUUAAUUUAUAUAUUUUUAUUUUUAAUUUUAAUUUUAUAACUAUAUUAUUAGUUUAUAUAUUUAUUUUUUAUUAUAUAUUUUUUUUAUUGAUAUUUUUUUAAAAUUAUUAAAUUUUUUAAUAAAUUAUUAUUAUUAUUUUAUAUAUAUUUGUAUAAUUAUUUUUUUAUUUAAUAUUAUUCAUUUAAUUUUAUAAAUUAAAUUUUUUAUAAUUUAAAUAUAAAUUAAUAUGAUUCUAUUGAUAAAAUUUAAGUAUAAUGUACAUAUAUAAUUAUAUACUUUAAAUUAAUUAUAUUUAUAUUUAUUUUAUGUAUUAUUUUAUAUUUAUAUUAUAUAAAUAAUAUUUUUUAUAUAAUAUAAAAUAAUUUAAUAUAAAUUAUAUAUUAAAAUAAAAAUAAAUAAUGAUAUAUGAAUAAUCAAAUAAUAAUAUAUCAAUAAUUAAUUAAUGAUAAUAUAUUAAUAAAUUUUAUAUAAAAUUAUCUAUUGAUAUUAAUAAUAAAAUUAUAUAUAUUUAAUUAAAAUUAUAUAAUUUAAAAAAAACUUUCUCUUGUUUAUAUAUAAAUUUAUAUAUUUAUUAUAUAUAUUUCAAUUAAUUUUUUUAUGUAAUAUAAAUAUUUAAAUAAAUAAUUAUUAAAUUUAGUAUUAUAUGGUUGAUUUUAUAUUAAAUACAUUUUAUAGAAUUAAUUAAAAUUUUUAUAAUUAAUUUUUGAAUAAUAAAUAAUAUUUAAUAUUAUAAAUAAAUAAAUAAAUAUUUAAAUAUUAAAAUUUAAAUUAAAAAAUUUAAUUAAAUUAAAAAUUCACUUUUAUUAAAUUAGUAUGCAUUAUUUUACAUAUAAAAUAUUUAAAAAUUAUUGAAAUAAUAUCCUUUUCUAUAUUAAAAAUUUGAUAAAAUUUAUCUAUAAAUAAAAAUUUUAUUUUUUAUUAUAUUUGAAAUUAAUAAUUUGAUUACAAUAGACUUUAAUUAAAUUAUAUUUAAUUUUAUUAAAAUUUCUUUUAAUUUUUUAGUUUAAAAGUUUAAUAUUUAAAAAUUUAAAUUAAUUAAAUUUUAUUAAUGAAUUUUUAAUCAAAUUUUUAAUUUCAAGUUUAAAUUAGAUUUGUUAUUAAUUUAAAUGAAUUUUUCACGAAUCAAGUUCGAGUAUAGUAUUUAAGUUUUAAAUUAAAUUCAAUCUAAAUAUUAGAAUUUGAGUUGAAUUUGAAUUUUUAAAAUUUUUUAAUAAAUAAAUUUAAAUUUAAACUUUAUAAAAUUUGAUCUGACUCGAUUCGAUUACGAUCCUAAUCGAUUCAGAGAAUUUUUUUAACCAAUAAAUACAUCGCAUUAAGCAAGGCCCAUCGUGCUAAAUACAUCGAUAAUAGGCAAGAGCUGUAUACAACAAUUAGAAGUAUGUCUAAGUUAUUUUAGAAUUCAAUUUUAUAGUAUAUAUAUCCAUAUAAAUAAAAAAGCUCAUCUAUUAAAGUAAAAUUUAAGGCCUGUUAAGCCAACACAAGCUUAACAAUACAAGUCCAUUCACUAAGGAGCCUUAAAAACCUAAUUAUCUUCAAAUAUUUUAGAAACUUUAUUAAAUAGUUACUACCAUCACAAUUCUACUGUUGCAGUUAGAGAAAAGAGAGGCCGAAGCUUCAAAAUCCUUUUCUGUUAAGAAAAUCAAAAUGCUGAAUACACAAUAAUAUAAACCCUAUUUUGACAAACCAAUCCGUCUAACGUUUUAGAAAAAGCAAAAAAUAUCGAUUCAACACAAAUUUAAAAAAAUAUACUAAAUACAAUAGUCUUUCGUUUGAACUUUUUUUGUAUAAACGCUAACUACUACUAUUGAUAACAAAAAUAAUUUCAUAGCAGUUUCAAUUUGUUACGGUCAUAAAGCAGUCGUUAGAGUCGAUUUAUACUUCCAUAUUAGUUCACUGAUCAUCAAAUUCACCCAUAAUAAUUAAUUAAAGUAAAGAAUCAAAAUUCAAAUACCGUUAGUCUAGCGUAUUGCAAAUAUAAAUUUAUAGUAAUUUUCAUUUUACUAUACUAAAUUUGUACAUAUAAAAAUAACAACUGCAGCGAAAUAAAAGAAUACAAUGAAUGAAAAAUAUUUUAAAAGAACAAUCAGAGUAUGAGGGAAAAUUUUGGCUUAUGGAGGAUUUUCCUUGUUAGCUGUGGUGAGUUUUACUAGCUAGUAGCUCUAUAGAUUUCUCUCUUGGCUAGGACAACGUUCUACACCUACAUGUGCUUCACGAGUGAGCUACAGAAGACUCUUUUCUUGACUAAGGUUAAUGACUUGAUCUUUGAUUUUGGUGCUUCAAAAUGCUUUUUCAUUUGCCUUGUGCUGCCACAAAUGGUUCUCUUUGUUGAUUUCACUCUAGGUGGAGAUGAAACUAACCUGUUUUCUGUAAAUUUGAUUUGAUUUAUACUGAAUUAACAACUUGCUUUACAUCAGCAAUAUUAUGCUCUUUCUUUCUUUUUUAUCUUUUUUUGAAGAUAAAAGAUAUUAAUAGGUUCAACAAUUACAAUGCCAAAGAGAUUUCUCGGCUCUUGCACCAUGACAUAAGCCCAAGUCUACAAGGCAAAGCUCAGCUUGAGGAUCCCCUAAUCCCUAGCUUGUAGAAAGAAUUAUGUGGAUCAUACCCCUUGAGACCAUGUAGAUUGAGGGACUAACAGGUCAUCCAAGACAGAAAAGAAAAGACGUACAGAGGCACAAGACCUUAAGAUUCAAAGGAUUCAAAACCAGAGAACCUCAAAAACCAUAAAACAAGCACAUCAUGGCCACGCCUUUGCCUAAGCUAAGGAAAGUGAUAAAUAAUUCCAUAAAAAUCAACUACUUUGAAUAGAAAAAAGGAUGACCGUUUCCAAUUACAGAAGACAAAAGACAACAAAUUAACGGUCGUCUAAAAUUAAAGAUGGCAACAGAUCAGAUAUUUUUAAAUAUCAGAUCCGAUCAAAUCCUAAUAGAACUGUUUAAAAAAUAAUAUCUGUUGGAGGUUUGGAUCGAAUUCGAUUUUUAUGUAUAGAGUAUCCACUAUUCAAACUCGUUUAUAUAAAUAAUUAAUUUAAUAUAAAAUAUAUAUUUUAUAAUAAUAUUUAUAAAUUUUUUUAUAUAUUUUUAUUUAAAAAUUAAAAUUUAAAUAUUUUUUAAAAAUAUUAAAUUUUUUAAAUAAAAAUUAUUAAUGAAAAAUAUUUUUAUAUAAAUUAUUAAUUAAAAUAUAUAAAAUUAAACGAAUCGAGAUUUUAUUCAAAUAAUAAUAAUCGAAUUUAAAAUGAAUUGAGUUAAUUUAAAUUAAUUUUUAAUCGAAUUCAAAAAAAAAAUUAAAUAUUACUAAUAUAAAUUAAAUUUAAUUUUAAAUAGUUUAAUUUUCACGAAUAUAAAUAUCUAUUUAUAUCCCUAAAUAAAACCAACUAAAGAUUUACAAGUUUCUUUCUCAAUUAAGGAGAGAAAGCAAUUAGAAACUUUCAAUAAAAAGGAAAAAAUAAUGAAAUUAUCUUUGGAAAAAGAAUCCAUCCAUUAAUCAUUCAAAGAGUAAUAUUAAGGAGACUUCACAUUUCCAAUCAAACCUACCCUCCAGCAAGUGUACAUUGAAUUGUUUUGUGAAUUGGAAAGUACGAGAGUUGACUUCACUUAAUUGAGUUGCAGCAGCAGCAUUCAUAACAGCAGUAGUAAUUCCUCAACUCUCACUGUCCACCCCCUCAUUUAAUUUUCUUUUUUUACUCUUGGUUUCAAAUUGAAGAAAAAGUUUGCUUCCCAAUUCUUGAUCUUUUGUUGUUUUCCUAAAUAAUGCAUCACUUUAUUAAUUCAGUCAUUAAAUGAAUAUAUGAGUCAUUUAUAAAUUACCCUUUAAAUUAUAAAAAUAAUAUUUUAAAGUUUGAUUGAUGAAAAAAUUUAAAUUGAUUUUAUUUGGUUUUUGAAUAAAAAUACAUUUUAUUUAUUAAUUAAACAUGAGAAUUAUUCUAGAUAUUUUUAAAAGGGCAAAAAAAAGAGGGGGGGGAAGAGAAGAAAUCCAAGGUGAUGGGGUUAGUACAAGUGUGUUGAGGUUCACAUGCACAAGAAAACGAUAGAUGCCGCAAUAAUAAUGAAAGAGAGUGUAGAAAGAUAAGACUUGCUUUUGCUAUUUUGUCUCGUACCAACUAUGGUGCGAAUGUUGGAAGCAUGGAGGCAAACCAAAUGGCUACAAUGGCGGCAACCCAUUCCUAUAUCAUCACUGCCCAUUCAUUCACUCUCUCCCACCAACUAGAGAGAGAAACUUCCAUCACUUAUGGGUCUCAAUAAGGUGGUCUCCUCCUUUAACAAAACCCCAUAACCAUAGAAAAGUUUUAGCUUCCUUUCUUCUUCAAGAUUCAAGCAAAAAAAGAGGUUCAUGGUUGGUUUGAUGGGAAAGGCAGCAGUUUCCCAAGUUCAGAAAGUUUUUUCAUUAUGGCUACAGAUGGCUUUAGCUUUGUAGACAAGGUAGAGAGAAAUAGUAAUAGUAGUAGUGAUUGUGCUAGGACUGUGAUGGUUGAUCAAUAUGAUCACUACCAUCCAUUUCCAUCAUGUGGAUUAGGUGGUGGUGGUGGUGAUGGUCCCACACGGUACAUCAAUAGGUGUAUCUCUAGUGAUAUAUACGAUGUUGUUGUCGCUGGUGGAGGCGGUGGUGCUCCUGGUGGUGCAGCAGAUGGUUUAAGAACUCUGCAGCCUUUUGACAUCUCUCCAUCUCAAACGGCUAUCACUGCCUUCAAAUCCCCAGGUGAAAAAAAAAUAAAAAACCCUUCAUUUUUUACUUCUCGUUACUUUUCUAAGUCAGAAAACAGAUCAAGUUUGUUCUUAAUAAUAAGAGAAAAAGAAAGUGAACUGAUUGAAGAUGCUGUUGAUAUGUAUAAAUUUCAGGAAUAAUGGCAUCAUCUAUGGGGUUUCCUUUUACAAUUGCACAGUGGAAAGAGCUUGAGAGACAAGCUUUGAUAUAUAAGUACAUGAUGGCCUCUGUUCCUGUGCCUUCACAUCUUCUCUUUCCAAAUCCAAGAAAUCUCGACUCAGACCAGGCUGCUUGUCGUUCUUCUUGUAAAUUACUCAUGCCUUCUUUUUUGAUUUUCUGUUUUUCUUAAUCAUUGGCCAGAUGGGUAUUCGAGAAAAUCCCAAAAAUUUCCAACCUUUAUGCGUAAUUUGUUAUAUAUGGUUAUGCAGUGGGUGGUGGUCUUAAUCUCAAGUUCACAAAUGGGGCAGAUCUACAACCGGGGAGGUGCAGGAGAACUGAUGGGAAGAAGUGGAGGUGCUCAAGAGAUGUGGCUCCUGAUCAGAAAUACUGUGAGCGUCACAUGCACAGAGGCCGUCCCCGUUCAAGAAAGCCUGUGGAACUCCAAGCCAACACCGAUAUUAACAAUAGCAAGAAGAAGACUCGUUAUACUCCUGCUAUUUCUGCAGAAUCUCCAGUUCCUGCUGCUGUUGGUUCUCAAUUUUUAGGUACCAUUUCGCAUCCAUACCUCCAGGCUAGUGACAAAGUUGCAAACUUUGAUGCUUCUCUGUCCUUUGCUUCAGCAUUCAAGGAACCCAGGUAACAUUUUUCCCCCUUUUGAAUGAUAAGCCAAUAGAAGAAAACUAAAUAUGCUGAUUUAAAAAAAAAAAAAAAUUGUUGCAAUAUGAAGGAGUUUAGAGUGGUUGAUAAAAGGAGAACCUGCUGAUCAACAAUGGCACCAUGGAGGAGAAGCUCUGAACUUGAACUCCUAUGGGAAUUUCAGUGCAGGAGAUGAUCAACAGAGCAAUCACUCUACUUUAUUUCUCAAUGGUACACCUAGAGGUUUCAUUGAUGCAUGGUCUAAUGGAGCAUCAGAUGACCAGAGUGAAACCUCGAGAAACACUGGUUCUGGCGUUUCCUCAAAUGGGAAGCUUUCACAAUCCUCUCUGUCCCUUUCAAUGGGAGGUUUCAACAGCAUGGAUGACGAAAAGGGUCAGAUUCAAAUGGGUUUAGGCCUAAUAGAAUCAGACCAAAAUCGUGAAUGUUCCACAAAAUCGCUGGGUCUGGCCCCUGCUUCUUGGACAGGGGCUACGCCUGGUGGUCCUCUGGCAGAAGUCAUACAACUGAGUUCGGCGAACACUGGUAGUCAGUCAUCUCCAGCAGCUGAAAAUGGAGAAUCUGGGAGCCCUCCAGCAACUGCGGUUUCUUCGCCGUCUGGGGUUCUGCAGAAAACACUUGCUUCGUUUUCAGAUAGUAGUAGCAAUAGCAGCCCAGUAAUGGCGAGUUCUCAAAAGGCCAAAUCUGAGAUUGGGCUGUUGUGGUUGAAUUGAUGAGACAUUUUAUAGAUUAGAUUUUCAUGCUGCUUUUUUUUUUUUCUUCAUGCGGUUGUUUAAUGAUUUUGGCUUGUGAACUUGAACUCUUCCAUGAAUUUUUAUUCGGUGAAUUUUGAAAUCAAUAUAUGCAUAUUUUAUCUUCGUAGUUUGUAUUUGAUUCUUACAGCAAGUUUGGAAAAAAAGAACACAAAAAAGUUCAAGUGAUUUUUUAUAAAAUUUAUACAUGAGUUCAAUUUUUACAGUGAAAAUUUUAAAUUGAAAAUAAUUAAAUUCGUUUAUUUUUUAAAAAAUAAAAUAUAAAAAAUACAUUUAAUUAAGUUUUUGCUAUACCCGCCAUGUCAGUGAAGGAAAACCGAUUAGGAGCCAUCAAUUUGAAAAAAAAUAUUAAAUUUAAUCAUAAUUCAAAGUAAUUUAUUUGUUUUAUUUUAUUUAAACAUUGUUUAAACUCAAAUUUUAUAUUAGACGUGCAAUAAAAUAGUUAAAAUUACUAUUACAUAGAACAAAAGGAGGUUAGCUUGUCCACCCGUUUUUCGAUUGAUUAUGUGAAAGUGAUUUAUUGAUUUAUCCAUCUUUGUAUUCUCUCUAGUUCUUUCUGAUAAAAUUUUUUAGGAUUUAUAUUUUUGUAUAUUUUAAUUUAUAUCCUGCUCGUCGCUUUGCGAUAUGAACUUAGCUUAUUCAACCUCCAUUUUUAUUACUUGUUGUUUCUUUUCCUUUUUUAUUUCUCUGCUUUGUUCUUUUUUUUUUUUUUUUNNNNNNNNNAGCUUAAUUGAAAAAAAAAAAUGAAAUUCAUAUGAAAAUAUAAAAAGCUAACAAGAAUUUAUAGAAUUCAAGAUGCACCGAAGGGGAGCUAAAAGAAAUAUAAAAAAUAAGAGAUGUGAAUUUUUAGUCGUUGGAACUAUGUUACGUUAAAAAAAAAAAGAGCGUAAGAACUUUGUGUUGUAUUUCAUGUCAAUAAAACAUGAUUAUACUCUUAACUAAACAUUUUAGCAAUGUAUUUUACAUAUUCACAUAAAAGAGAUGAUGGUUUGGAUUUUAUUAUGAGAGUAUUUGUAAAUUAGAAAAGUAAAAGAUAUAUAAAAAUAAAAGAAAAAUGAUAUAGGUAUUAAUAUUAAUUUAUUUGCACCUUUUCAAAUCAAUCAAGGAUUUCACGACUAUUUAAUAAUGACUAGACAUUUCAACAAUAUAUUUUACAUGUUGACAAAGAAGAGAUGAUAAUAUUGACUUUAAUACGAGAGUGUUUAAAAAUUAAAAAAGUGAAAGAUGCACGGAAGAAUGAGAAAGAAAUGAGAUGGCCAUUGGGAUCAAUUUAUUUGCAUCCUUUUAAGUUAAUGAAGGAUUUCACAACUAUUUGAACAUAAUGUAAAAAAAACUAAAUGACAUAUUGUAUGAUUUCAACAAUAAAAUGCAUAUCAUAAGUGAGAAAGAUAAUUUUAAAAGAUUCACAGUAAAGUGAAGAGCAAAAUUCUGAGUUUUAACAUGUAUAGUUAUUUCUCCAUAGCAAAAGUAGUUUCAUUCAAUUAGUGAGGAAGUGAAAUCUAAACAGUGAUAAACCAAUAUCACAAUAGAUUUGGUUUAAAUUUCAUAUUUGUAUAUUUUAAAACUUAUCUUUUGUAACUGUAUUUAUCUUUGUACGUAGUUUAUUUAAAGACAAUUGCAAUAUAAUACAAAACACGAUUUCUCCCAUCUAUUUCUCUCUUCCUAUUAUGGUAUCAGAGCUGUAAAAAGUAUACUUGCUUUUUUCGAUCCUAAAUCACUUCCGCUUCUUUAAUUUGUUUCUAAUUUUUCUAUUGCUCUCCAUGUCUUCAUCAAGUCCUAUAAGUUUGCCUCAUUCUAAUGGCAUAAACUUGAUUUCUUUCAAUUCUAAUAAGUUUCCAUUGAAACUGUCUGCACAAAAUUAUCCAACAUGGAGAGCAUAGGUUCUUCCUGUUCUUCGUGGUCAAAAUCUUAUGGGUUAUGGGUAAUGUGGAUAGGUCUUUGCCACCUCCACCUGCUUUUACUCAAGUCGGUGAGAAUGACACAACAACCUUCACCAAUAAGUCAGCAACAAGAGUUUUAUCUCUUCGUGAAAAGUUAUCAACUGCUAAACAUGAUAACAAAUCGAUUUCUGAUUACCUGCAACAAAUAAAAAACGUCGCAGAAGCUCUUUCAGGUAAUACAGUUUCUGAUGUGGAUUUGAUUGUCUAUAUUUUGAAUGGUAUCAGAUUAGAAUUUCGUGACAUAGCAAUAGCAAUUCAAGCUCGUGAUACUGUGACAAGUUUUAAAGAACUUGACGAUAAACUUUUGACUCAUGAAAUAUAUCUUAAGAGUACAGAUUCCUCUUAUGAUCUUGUUCCAUUAACUGCUCAUAGUGUUCAAAAGGGUUCCUAUCUCAAACAGAAUUAUCGAUCUAAUGGUCAAGAUAGCUCGACUGCUUAUGGAACCAGAACUGGUAAUAUCUCAAAUUCUUCUAACAAGAUUCAGCCUUCUGCUCGUUAUAGUGUUCGUACGUCUAGUUCAUCAUGGCAUCAACGAUUAGGUCAUCCAGCUACAAAAAUUCUCAAUUAUAUUGUGUCUCAUUUUUCUUUAUCAGUUUCUAAAGUUAAUCAGAUAAAUUGUGAUUCUAGUCGUUAUAAUAAGAGUUAUCGACUCUCUUUUGGUGUUUCGUCAUUGUCGAGUUCUCGUCCUUUAUAAUUAUUAUAUUCUGAUCUAUAGGGUCCUGCUCCAGUUCAAUCUAGAGAUGAUUAUAAAUAUUAUUUGAUCUUUAUUGAUUAUUAUACUAAAUAUAUUUGGUUUAAUCCUCUUCGAGCUAAAUCUGAUGUUGCUAUUAUUUUGUCAGUUUUUCAGAAAUUGGUUGAAAAUAGCUUUUAAACAAAAAUUGUGUCUAUAUAUAUAGAUAGGGGAAUGGAGCUUAUUGCUUUAAAAUCUAUUUUUCAAGCUCAUGGCAUUAAUAAUCUUCAAAUGCCCCCUUAUACUCCACAACAUAAUGGAGCUGCUGAACAUAGACAUUGUCAUGUGGUUGAAACUGGGUUAACUCUUCUUCAUAAUACUUCUUUACCUUCUGAAUUUUGGGUUUAUGGAUGUCGUGCAGCUGUAUAUUUGAUCAACAGGUUACCAACACCUACUCUAGAUUGUUCUUCUUCAUUUCUUAAAUUGUUUGGUAAAGUUUCAAUUUAUUCUGAUUUACAAAUUUUUGGUUUUCUUUGUUAUCCAUGCAUUCGUCCUUACGCAAAACACAAAUUCUCUCUUAAAUCAUUUUCGUGCUUGUUUCUUAGUUAUUCCUUAAAUCAAAACGCCUAUCUUUGCUUCGAUUAUAAAAAUAACAAGAUGUUUAUUUCUUGACAUGUCGUCUUUGUUGAGGAUCAAUUUCCUGGGCAUUCACUUGAUUUGUCUGCGUUAGAUAAUUCUGGUUGGUAUGAUUUUGUUUCUGACCAGUUUGUGUUGUCAAAUUCUAGUACUUCUGUCUCAUUUCAAUUGCAGGAAAAUUCUGGUGCAGCUGUUGUUCUACCUUUUUCUGCUGUAGUAGAACCUGUUUCAACGUCUUUAGCUUGUUCAGGUUCCACUUCCAGCUUCUCCAAUCCAUCUUCAUCGAGUUCCUCAUCCUCCAGUCAUUCUCCAUUACUGUUAGACAUUCCUGGUCAGUCUUCUUUGCCUACGAAUAUUGUAAGUUCUCCUCCAAAUACUGGUUAGUCUACUUCGUCCAAUGAUGAUGCUUCGGAUACUAAUGUCAAUAUUGUUACUCCUAUCCAGCCCCUUGUUCGAACCUAUUUGAUGGUUACUAGGUCCCAUAAUGACAUAUUGAAGUCGAAAAAUCGUAAUCUAGUAACUAAGCAUCCAAUUCCAACACUUUCUGAACUGACAUGUGUUUCACAGGCUUUUCUUGAUCAUCAAUGGUGUGCUGCCAUGUCUGAUGAGUUUAAUGCUUUGGUAAGGAAUGGAACAUGGGUAUUGGUACCACAUGAUCUGAAACAUAACUUGGUUGGUUGUAAAUGGCUUUUUCGAGUUAAAAAGAAUGUUGAUGGUAUUAUUGACAGAUACAAAGCCCAUCUUAUUGUGAAAGGAUACAGUCAACAACUUGGAAUAGAUUUUGGGGAUACUUUCAAUCCUGUUUUAAAACCAGUGAAACACAUGUCAGUUCAGAAGUACUAGUAGAUUGCAUAAAACUAAGACGACAGAAGUACUAGUGAUCACUCUUUAUUGUCUAUAACAACGAUAAUACAUUAUGUUAUUUUCUUGUAUAUGUUAACGACUUUCUUGUUAUAGGAAGUUGCAAGGCCUUCAUACAAAAAUUCAUUGACAAGCUUGCUAUCCAUUUUUCAUUAAAGAAUUCACAUAAUUUCAAUUUGUUUCUUGGUAUUGAUAUGCAACAAACUUCGAAGGGAGUGUUCUUAUCUCAACACCAUUAUGUGCAUAAAUUACUUGCUACUCAUAGCAUGGAAGUAGCUAAGCCGAUUACCACACCCUUUGCAGCUUCUGCGAUACUCUUGAAGAGAACAGAAACUGAAGAAAUUGUUAAUGCAACUAAAUAUAGAAAGGCAGUAGGUGCACUCUAGUAUUUGACUUGGACAAGACGUGAUAUUUGUUUCUUAGUAAACAAGCUUUCUCAAUUUAUGCAAAGCCCCACAAAGUUGCAUUAGGAAGCCUUGAAAUGACUCCUUCGUUAUCUCAAGUCCACUCUUUAUUAUGGCAUUCUUAUUAAACCGUAUUCUUCUCUUAAAUUUCAUGCUUUUUAAGAUAUGGAUUGGGCUGGGAAUCAUAUGGAUAGAACAUCAACUGCGGGGUAUAUCUUGUAUCUUGGCAAUACUCCAAUUUCUUAGUCUUCCAGAAAGCAAAAAUCCGUUACUCGGUCAUCUACGGAGGUUGAAUAUUGUGCGGUAGCAAUAACAACUUCUUAGGUAAUGUGGGUCAACUCUCUAUUAUUUGAACUUAGGAGUUCAGUUGCAAGACAAUUCACUGCUCAUUUAUUGUGACAACAUUUCUGUAAUACCCGGCUAGAGUCCGGUAUCGGAAUUCCUGUAGUCUGGUGGAAUCUCGGGAGUCGAAAUCCUCUAGAAGGAUAAUACAUAUGUGUGCUAAAGAAUUUUACCUUGUUUUAAUGUUUUAAGUAUAAAGGAAAAUGAGUUUUUGAAAGAAAAGAGCCAGGGGAGAAAAUGGCAAGUUCGGCCGUCGAAAGUGAGUUUCGGCCGCCGAACCUUGCAUGGUUUCGGGUUUUACGUUUGGCCGACGAAGGUGGUCUGGCCAGCCACCUAUAAAGGGCCCUAAGUCGGUGGAAGGAUGAUAUUUUGCUUCCACCUUCAGCCAGAGGUGAGUCCAAACCCUUCCCAAGUUGACUUUCAUGAUUUUAUUUAAAUCUUUCAAGUUUUUUAAGAGUUUUGAUGUUGUUUUGAAGUUUUUGAGCAAAAGAGCUAAGUUUGGAAGCUUGGAGCCUUUGAGAGAAGAUUUCUCCAUAUCUCCACGUUGGGAUCAUUUAUUCUCUUGUUUGGAAGAGGUAAGUAAAGAUCCUGAACUUCCUUUCUUGAUUUUGAAGGUUUUAUGGAAGUUUUAUGGGUAGUAUGCAUGAUAGGGUUUAGUUGAGGUUUUUGGAUGAUUUUUGUGUAUAAGCAUGUAUAUGUGUUAUGUGUUAUGUUUUUUGGGGCUAUAAGUUAGUUGUAGACCCUUUUAUGCAUGUUAUAUGGUAUGUGCUAGUUGGGAGUAGUUGUUUGCAUGUUGAGGUAAGUUUGGGGGACAGUUUGCAUGAAACAGAGCAGGGUUCUGCCCUUCGGGCAGAACCAGAUUCGGCUGCCGAAGGAAGGUUCGGCCACCGAACCCUUGUGGAGGCAGUUUCGGCUGCCAAAGCUUGCCUCCGAAAAUUGGGACUUUCAUCUCUGGAGGGAAGGUUCGGCAGCCGAAAGUGCCGCCGAAGGUUGAGUUUCGUCUCUGGACGAGACUUUCGGCUGCCGAAGGUGCCGCCGAACAUGCAUGAGUUUCGUCUCUGGAGGGGGGUUUCGGCCGCUGAACCUGCCACCGAAAGUGCCCUGUCCAGCUUUCUUUAGCAUGUUUUAUGUGAUUGUUUUAGGAUCUUUUAAGGGGGGGUUUUGGGGAGUUUUAUAGAGAUAUUCUUGUGUUAGUUUGGUCCCUCAUUUGAGUCCACCUGUGUAGGAACGGACCAGAGGAACCAGCGAGUUCAGCAGUGAGCACUGCUUCAGAACCUGCAGAGUAAGUUCAGAGUCAGCCAGAGGUGAGUGGAACUAAACUUAACCAUUUUAAUAUGAGUAACCAAAUGCUUUGAGCUUGUUUCAUGCAUCAUGACCAUGUUAUAGGUUGAUCGCAUUAGAUAUCACGAAUAUGAAGCAUUGCAUACUUUGUUGUUGAUGUGGGUGAUCUGGAUGAUCCAAUAGUCCCUGAGAGCCAGGUGCCUACCUCUACGCCCUGGCAUAGAUGAGAUAGUCAGGUGCCUACCUCUACGCCCUGACCCAGAUAGAUGAGAUAGUCGGGUGCCUACCUCUACACCCUGACACAGAUAGAUGCCGGGACUAGUUGGUGACAGGUUUACCCUUGCUGUGGCUUGUUUGUGCUGUGAUGCAUUCUACGAGAUCAUGUUUUUAAUAACAUGUUUUAUUGUUCUGCUCACUGGGCUAGUAUAGCUCAUCCCUCUCCCUUAACCCCAGCUUUGCAGGUACAGAGUCCAGAGAGAAGUCAGCAGAGUAUAGAAGAGUAAAGAGAUAUGUAAUAGCUAGUGUGGACAUGUAAUUAUAAAGAGAUAGUUUAUGUUGUAUAGUGUAUAGAAUUGUGCUUGAUCAUUAUAAGAGUUGUAAUUCCUUUGUAUACAUGAUCUUUUUAUGUAAAUGAGUUUACCUUAUGUGUUUAAAAACCAGGCUUAACAUAGUAUGAGUUUAGCCCACCUAGAGCAAAGAUGAGAGCUCUAGUAGGGGUUUACAGUACAGAGUUAGUGCAUGCACAGGUUAAGCCUUGGUACAGAGAAAGGUUUUAAUUUUUACAGAAAAUGUAUGAUCAUGUAUGGGAAUUCACAGGUACACAGAGUUCACAGCAGGCUUGCUACGGGUCCCGGCGGCCUUAAGCCGAUCUGGAUCCUAGCGCCGGUAGCAGUUCGGUUUCCAGGCUGUUACAGAUUGGUAUGAGAGCCCUAGGUUCAUAUGGUCAGAUCUAUAUAGAGAGAGUCGGGCUCAUAGAGGUGCUAGUUGGUCAAGCACAAUAGGAAAACAUGUCCACGAGGAUAGGAUGUUAGUCCUGUUUAUAUGAUGAUGUGAAAUGCCAUGACUUGUGCAUGUGCGUUAUUAUAUGUGAUGUAUGCUUAUGUGCUCUGUUAUGUGUUGUUUUUAGAGAGUUAAGAUGCGAGGAACUCGUCGAUCCGCAAGAUUGACUGGAGUCCCACCAGAAAGUGAGGGUACAACUGCUCGUCCUCCUGCUUUGCCAAGGGCAAGGACUCACAGGUCAAGCGGGGAGGGAACGUCAAGAGACCCUAGAAGGUCUUCUGACGAGAGCAGAAGAGGAGUAGACAGAGGGGGAAGGUCAGAGGAAGAGAGAGAUGCUAUGGAUGCUGACCAGAGUAGAGAUGAAAGCAUGGGUAUGGGAAGGUCGGAGGAAGGUAUGGGCGAGUCCCAAGGAGGCGCACAGGCCUCGGGGUUUGGCUAUCCACCCUUUCCACAGGGCCCCGGGUAUCCGAUGGGAGGUACGUCGGAGUACUCCAGCUUCACCCCAUAUCCACCCUAUAUGCCUUACAUGCCUUAUCCAUCCUUUUAUCCACCAUAUCCCAUGUAUCCACCCCCACCUUCUCAUUCAAGUCCAGCACACCCUGAACCUAGAGAAACAGUACCUCCACCUCCACCACCA